GCAACAUCCCUUCAUCUAUGGCGAAUUUCACUCAGCUCGAGUCACUAGACCUAUCGCACAACAAGCUCUCAGGCCAGAUACCUCCUGAUCUCGCGCACCUUACCAACUUACCAACAAAUCCAACCUAUCAUUCACAUAGGACUUUGUGGUCUUCCUCUCGAUGAGUGUGGAACUGUCCAUGACCCGCUACAUUCACGACAAGAAGAUGAAGAUAAUGAAGAAGAGGAAGAAGAAUUCGUGAGCUGGAUUGCAGCUGCCAUAGGUUUCACACCUGGAAUCGUGCUUGGAUUGACCAUUGGAUACUUCAUGCUCUCCUGCAAACCGCAUUGGUUCUCCAUGGUGUUCAACAUCAACAAUCAGAGACGAAGAAGAACUCGUUAGCUCGUUUAUGAGGUACUCUUUUCAUUAAAAUUUCUUAGCAUUUCCCUUACAUCGAUGCAGUCGCUAGAGUUGAAUUUUGUUUUUCUCAUCCUUGUUCACUUUGAUUUAACAAAAGAGAUCUGCUAAUAAGAAACCCUAAUUUAGGGAAUUCAAGACAUUCGAGAAGAUGGAAUAAUGGGGGAAGGAAGAAGAAGAUCGAUCGUUAAGUGCAUUCAGAAUUGGACUUAUAAAGUGGGCUUGAUUAGUUAAAUUUCAGUGACGUUAAGAAAAUAUAAUAAUAAAUAAAUUUUCUCUAGAUUCUGUAAAGGCCAUAUCCAAAUCAUCCAGUGUUCUUCUAUAGUUACCCAAAUUAUUUUGGGAAAAAACCUUAAAAAUACCUCAAGUUUAUAAAUUUUGCCAGAAAAAUACCCAAACUAUUUACGCUUCCUUUUUAAUAUCUGAUAUUUGUCUGAUUGUCUCUUUAAUACUCGAAAAUUCAAAAAUCGUAAGUUUCACUACCAGUUUUUAAUCACGAUUAAUUGUUAAACGGAGACUGUGAUACGGCGUUAAAAAAAUUAAACACGUGGGUUUAACUCUAACCCAAAAAAACAAAAAAACCUGCCUGGACAUACGUAUUGUAUUCUCUUCCCACGUUCUUCCCCAAAUCAAAACAUAAACCCUAAAUCGAUUUCCCCAAAUCGAUUUUCCCCAAUUCAAAUCCAACAAAUCGCUAAUCGAAAAACCCGUACUCUUUACUCUCUCGUAUCGCUAUUUCUCUUCGAAAGCGAUCUGCGUCUUCACGUCGAUUUCGUAUAACCAUAUGAGACAGUGAUUUGCGAGACUCGAAAAAUGAGGUAAGGUUUCUAAAUUCACUGCAUUUGGGCUGUCUAGUGUGGAUAUUUGUGUCGAGUAUGAAGCUUAGUUGGUUUGUUUAUCAAUUUCGUGUUUCGAUUAGUUAUGAGAUUUUUUGAGUGACAUCUUGCUUCUCUUUCGAUAAUGCAGUGACACCAUAAAAAUUAAUUUGCAUUAUGGAGGGCUUAUGUACAUCAAAGAUUCUAAGCGGGUAUACGUAGGAGGUUCGGUGAAGGAGGGAUUAGUUGUCGACCCAGAUUUUCUGACUUGGAGCAUCUUCGAUGAUUUUUGCGACAAAGAAGACACAGGACCGGGCGGCAAGGUGGAACUAGUAUGGUACAAGCUGUCGAACGAGACUGUAGACUCAGCGAGACCUAUAUUUUACCUCUCUUCUGAUGCAGAGUUAAUGCAGAUGUGUGCUGAAGCUAGUGUAGGUGGUGAAGUUGAUGUAUACAUUGAGAAAUGUGUACUUCCUCAGCCUGUCGAGAACGAGGAAAGAGAGAAUGAAGGAAGCGUGAGUCAAGCUCUUGUAUUGUAUCAGGGAAAAGAGGACAAAGGAGGCGAGUCUGAUGGUGAUGAUGUUGAAGAUGAUAAAGCUCAUGAAGAUCCACACUCAGAUGACUUCGCAGCAGGAGAAGAAGUUGUAGAAGAAAGAGCCGAUGAUGAGAGAUUUCAAUCUUUCAUGGCAGAAAUGGAAAAUGGAGAUAAUGCUGAGUUAGGUGAGGAUGGAGAUAAUGCUGAGUUAGGUGAUGAUGGAGAUAAUGCUGGGUUAGGUGAGGUGAAUGAUAGUAUUGGAGAAGAUGAAAAUGCUGAUCAGAAUGAGAGUAGUCCUGAAGAUGAGCACAGUGCACCAAACGCAGAUGGUGAUGCUGAGGCUGAGUUCGAGAGACAAUGUAGGGAUGCUGAACAUCCAGAUCCAGCGGAAGAUACAGACGACGAGUGGGAAGGAUUCAAUAGAGUAGAAAGAGAUAAUGCAAGGAAGCAUUACAGUAAGGAGCGGCCUCCAUACUUUUGGUUACUGCAGACUUUCAAGAGCGGUGAUGAAUUUAAAGAGCAGUUGUUGAGAUAUGUUCUGAAGACAAACUACGAUAUCUACCAAAACAAAUGGGAUAAGAACAAGUAUGCUGCAAUAUGUGCUAAAAAGGGUUGUAAGUGGAGGAUCUACUGCUCGGUGGAGAAAGGGAAAGGGUUGUGGAUGGUUAAAACUUAUCAAGGCAAGCAUAACUACAUGAAGAGUAGCAAGGCUAGGAUGUUGAAGCAGGGUACAAUAGCAAUGCUUUUUAAAGACGAAGCAAGACGAAGACUGGGUAUAAAGUGGACUGACAUCAAGGAUGAGAUCAUGAUCAGGUACAAUCUAUCCGUCUCUAAGUGGAUAUGUACUAAAGCUAGAAGAUUAGCACUAGAUAUGGUCAUUGAAACUCAUAAAGAACAGUUUGCGAAGCUUUGGGAUUAUGAGCAGGAGUUAAGGCGUUCUAAUGAUGUGUCAACAGAGAUUGUGACCAUCUCUCGUCCUGAUGGUAAAUAUGUGUUCGACAGAUUCUAUAUUAGUUUUGCUAAUCUGCGGAAUAAUUGGAAAAGAAACUGUCGACCAAUUAUUGGUCUUGAUGGAGCUUUUAUGAAAUGGGAGCUCAAAGGCGAGAUUCUAGCAGCUGUUGGAAGAGAUGCUGACAAUAGGAUUGUCCCUUUUGCGUGGGCUGUAGUAAGAGUUGAGGAUAAUGAAUCAUGGGCUUGGUUUGUUGGUAAGCUUCAGGCAGAUUUGGAUUUAGGAUUGGGGAGUGGUUAUAGUAUCAUUUCAGACAAAUAGAAAGGGUUGAUAAAUGCGGUUGCGGAUCUCUUGCCAGAAGCUGAGCACAGGCAUUGUGCUAGACACAUUUUUGCGAAUUGGAAAAAGGUUUAUGGGAUGGUAGAGUAUGAAAACUACUUCUGGGCAAUCGCUAAAAGCUCAUCACUUGGUGAGUUCGUUUACAACAAAAGUGCUUUGGAGCAGUUUGAUCCUGUAGCGUGUAAGGAUUUAUUCAAAACAGAACCAAAGGCAUGGUGCAGAGCAUUUUUCAGUCCGCAAGCAAGAUGUGAUGAUGUUUGUAACAAUCUGUCAGAAAGUUUCAACAGGACCAUCAAAGAUGCCAGAAAACUGCCACUGAUUAACAUGCUUGAAGAGAUUAGGAGGCAAGCAAUGAAGCGUACGAGCAGGAGGAAAGAAAUGACAGGGAAAUGUGAUAGCAGGUUUCCACCUAAUAUUAUGGAGAUUUUUGAGGAAAACCGUGUUCAUAGUGAGACCUAUACGGUGCUCCAUAGCAGUGAAAAUUUGUUUGAAGUGGUUCAGAAUGAUUGUAGCUACGAGGUUAAUCUGCUACAUAAGCACUGCGCAUGUAACACAUGGAAUAUCACUGGAAUACCGUGUAGGCAUACUAUUCAUGUCAUCUCUGACUUUAACCGUGACCCUGAAGAGUAAGUUCUUUUGGCCGUGGCCAUUUAUAUUCUUUUUUAUUUAUAUUGUAUGCUUAACCGAGUCUCCUUUUCCAUGUUUUGUAGUUAUGUGGAUGAAUACUACCUUAUUUCGAAGUGGCAUGACACUUAUAGAGACAACAUCAAACCGGUUAAUGGUGAGAAAUUCUGGGAAAAGACGGGCAAAGCUCCCAUUCUUGUACCUGAGAAAAGGAGAAUGCCUGGCCGUCCAAAGAAGCAUGAUCGGAUAAAGGAGCCUCAUGAGUCAUCUUCAAAUCCGACGAAGGCUACUCGAGAAGGAAGGGUUGUAACAUGCAGCAAUUGUAAGCAAACAGGUCAUAACAAAGGAACUUGUAAGAAUGCUACUUAUGUGGAAACAGGUCCUAAACGGAAAAGGGGAAGGCCUAAAAAGAUACAGGUAUGUAAUUAUGUGAUAGGUGAUUGUUUUGUAUGGUACGGUAUAGGUUGGUGAUUGUGUUCGUAAUUGUGUAAUAGGAGGAUGAUGCAUGGAGCAUUCAAAACGCACCAAAAAGAAGGAGGACUGGCCAGAGUUCUACACAACCAUCACAACCAUCAGUGAAUUCCACACAGGAAUCAGUCGAUCCGCAGCCAUCAAGUGCUCCAAUCCCAACUGCAUCAACUGGCCGUGGACGUGGACGUGGACGUGGCCGUGGACGUGGAACUGGCCGUGGACGUGGCCGUGAGCCUCCGAUUCCAAGGGGAUAUGGAUGCUACAUCUCACCUUUCACUGGUCGAGUUUUUGACGUGUGGGGCUCAAUUGCAACUGAAGUUAUGGGUCCUUAUGAUCACCGAGACUCUUGAAUUGCUUACUGUUUUAGUACUUUUGUGUGUGCUUUCUCAACUACAAUAUGCUUUUUGUUUCUUUUGGUGUUAGACUGUUGUUGUAGUUUGCUACAAUUGUUAUGUAAGCACAUUAGCAUUUGGGUAUUUCUUAGUAUGUCAUAAACUGAGUUGAACAAAAUGAAAGCAUAACUCCAAAACUUAUCUUCAUUGAUCCAAAAACAGAACAACAAUGACAAGAAGUGAGACAACAAGCAACAUAUGAGAGUACAAGCAAAAUAACAACAAGCAAAAUAACAACAUUACAACAAAGACAAUCGCAUCUACUUCUUAGCCAUUGUUAGGAUCAUCGCUGUGACAACAAUGAAUCCUCCCCAGGAUAUCACAAUGAAUUGGCGUAAAAGCUUUUCCUUCUCUUUUGAGGCCAUCGCUUCAAUUUCAAGUUUUCUCUUCUCUUCUGCAAUUUUCUCAAACAUCUCCAAAUUCAUCAUACCUGAAUCAGCUCCAUUCAGAUCUUUGUCAUUGCAUGCUCGGAGAGACUCGUUAAGCUCCUUGAGUUGUUCUUUUUGUUGCCUAAUCUGAUCUCUCGCCUCAAGCAAGCUAAUCUUCUGCCAUCCAAACGGCUUUUCCUUGUCAGCCCAACAAAGAAACCCAUGUGUAUCACAUUUGUAAAACUUUCUUCCUGGGUUUUCAUCAGUCCAUGAUUUCGCCAUGGUCGUCACUUUCCUGCAGCGACAAAUCGGAUUUUCCAUCUGGGUGUAUCCAUCGUUGAACGAGUUAGCAGAUGAUGAUGAGUUUUCCAUUGAUUGGUGCGAGAGACUGGCCAAUAAAAGCGAACAGAGCUGAGAUAAAAGCGAAGAUGUGAAGUGAAGGAAAAAUCGAUUUAGGGUUUAUGUUUUGAUUUGGGGAAGAACGUGGGAAGAGGAUAUGAUAUGUAUGUUCAGGCAGUUUUUUUUGUCUUUUUGGGUUAGAGUUAAACCCACAUGUUUAAUUUUUUUAAUGCCGUAUCACAGUCUCCGUUUAACAAUUAAUCGUGAUUAAAAACUGGUAGUGAAACUUACGAUUUUUGAACUUUCGAGUAUUAAAGAGGUAGUCAGCCAAAUGUCAGAUAUUAAAAAGGAAGCGUAAAUAGUUUGGGUAUUUUUCUGACAAAAGUUAUAAACUUGAGGUAUUUUUUAAGGUUUUUAUCCAAUUAUUUUUGUAAGGAAAAAAUUAAUUAGAAAAUGCCCCACAUAAAGUUACUUAUCAUCUUAUCAGACCUUAGACUUUAUUUAUUUAACAAUUCAGUCCUCGAACUAAAACGGAUUCAGCUACGCAAACCAAAAAUAAAACAAGUUUAGCCAACCAAAUAAAGGAUUUUUCUUUAAGAAAAGACGUCACAAGAAAAUAAAAAUAAAUAAACUUGUCGUUUUUAUAAACCAGAAAAAGCUGCCCAAACUUUCUUCCUCUCGAACCCUAAACGAGCCGGGUCAUCUCAAAAAUUUCCCAGACAUUGCAUUUCUUCGUCAUCCUCAGAUUCUCCUCCGCCGUUCCUCCGUCUCUUCUCCUCCGCCUGAUUCCAUCUUCGUCUUCCCCGGAACCGAAGUCUCUGUACCGUAAUUUAAUCAAGUUUUUACCGAACCGAUUCUCGCGUAACCAACCCGGUCACAACCUGCAAACCAAUAAAGGUUCGUUUAAUUCUUCUUCGUCUUUGUUCUUACGAUAGACGAAGAAAUUUACCGGUUUUGUAAUUCGGUUGAGAUUUUGGUGCACCACCUGGGUUUUAGAAUUUCGCGUUUUUAAAUCCGAUCCGUUUUUUGAAUUAUGAACAUCUUCCCUGCGAAACUCGAGAUAUUUUUCCUGCAGCUAAUUUGAUCUUGUAAACGUUAAUUGGAGGAUCUAGGGUUUUUAGAGGUUGAAUCAGCAAUGUAAAAUUUCUGGAUUUCUUCUUUUGUAGGCUCUCUCUCUCUGUUUGAGAAUGGAUUCGGAUUUGGAGCCUGUAGCUCUCACACCUCAGAAACAAGACAGUGCAUGGAAACACUGUGAGGUUUACAAAUACGGAGAUCGAGUUCAGAUGAGAUGUCUCUACUGUAAGAAGAUGUUCAAAGGAGGUGGUAUCACCAGAGUCAAAGAACAUCUCGCCGGUAAAAAGGGACAAGGCACGAUCUGCGACCAAGUCCCCGAAGAGGUCCGUCUCUUCUUGCAACAAUGCAUUGAUGGCACCGUGAGACGUCAGAGGAAGAGGCGAAAAACUAGCCCUGAGCCUCUGCCUAUAGCUUACUUCCCUCCUUGUGAAGGAGAGACACAGGUCGUUGUUUCUUCCGACGCGAACAACGGAUUCAAAUCUCCGGAUUUGGUGGCUGGUCAGAGCACGGGGAGGACGAAGCAGAGGACUUAUCGGAGUAGGAAGAGUAGUAGUAAUGCUUUUGAGAGAAACGAUUUGGCUAAUGUUGAGGUUGGUGGUGCGAGCGAUAUCAGUGACUUGAUGGGUCGAGACAUGGAGAAUUUGAUCCCUGUGGCUAUUAGUAGCGUGAAGAACAUUGUGCAUCCGUCCUCGAAAGAUAGGGAGAAGACAGUUCAUAUGGCGAUUGGAAGGUUUUUGUUCGAUAUUGGAGCUGAUUUUGAUGCUGUGAGCUCUGUGAAUUUCCAGCCGUUUAUCGAUGCGAUUGUCUCUGGAGGGUUUGGUGUUUCUCUGCCUGCAAAUGAAGACCUCAGAGGCUGGAUUUUGAAGAGCUGCGUUGAGGAAAUGAAGAAAGAGAUCGAUGAGUGCAAGUCUCUGUGGAAGAAGACAGGCUGUUCUGUUUUAGUACAGGAAUCGAGCUCCGAGAAAGGCACUAAGGUUCUUAAUUUCUUGGUUUACUGCUCGGAGAAAGUAGUGUUUUUGAAAUCCGUUGACGCGUCGGAGAUACUAGCUUCUGCUGAUAAACUCUAUGAGUUACUUAAGGAGGUGGUUGAAGAAGUUGGUGACACCAAUGUUGUGCAGGUUAUUACCAAAUGUGAUGAUCAUUACGUCGCUGCUGGGAAACAGCUGAUGUCUGUGUAUCGGACUCUGUACUGGGUUCCUUGUGCUGCACAUUGCUUAGACAAGAUGCUGGAAGAGUUUGGGAAGAUUGAUUGGAUAAGCGAAAUCAUCGAGCAAGCUCGAACCGUCACAAGAAUUAUCUACAAUCACAGUGGUGUCUUGAAUCUGAUGAGGAAAUUCACUUUUGGCAAUGAUAUUCUGCAGCCAGCCUUCACAAGUUCCGCUACUAAUUUCGCAACGAUAGCAAGAAUCGUGGAUCUGAAACCUCAUUUGCAGGCCAUGGUUACUUCGUCCGAGUGGAAUGAUUGUUCGUAUUCGAAGGAAGCAGGUGGAUUGGCAAUGACUGAGACUAUCAAUGAUGAGAGUUUCUGGAAGGCGUUAACAUUGGCGAACCAUAUAACAGUUCCUCUCUUGAGAGUUUUGAGGAUAGUUUGUUCUGAAAAGAGGCCUGCAAUGGGGUAUGUCUAUGCUGCACUGUAUCGAGCAAAGGAAGCGAUUAAGACUCAUCUUGUUCACAGGGAGGAUUACAUAAUCUACUGGAAAAUUAUAGACAGGUGGUGGUUGCAACAACACCGUCUUCCUUUGCAUGCUGCUGGUUUCUAUCUUAACCCGAAGUUCUUCUAUAGCAUCGACGAAGAAAUGCGUAGUGAGAUCCAUUUAGCGGUGGUUGAUUGCAUAGAGAAGUUGGUCCCUGACGACAACGUUCAAGAUAUUAUCGUUAAGGACAUAAACUCAUACAAGAAUGCUGUUGGGAUUUUCGGGAGGAACUUAGCAAUCAGAGCUCGGGACACAAUGCUUCCUGGUAUAUGCCAUAUUAUAUUCGUAAUUCAUUAAAUCUGAAAUAAGACUCGUAUGUUAAAGUGUUUUCGUAAGUACUUAAAACAUGUUUGAUUUCUUUUAGCUGAAUGGUGGUCUACAUAUGGAGAAAGUUGCUUGAACCUGUCACGUUUUGCCAUACGCAUUCUGAGUCAGACAUGCAGCUCAUUGAUUGGCUCCGGGAGAAACCUGACACCAGUCGAGCAAGUUUUUGAAUCGAAGAACUCUAUUGAGCGGCAACGGCUUAGCGAUCUUGUGUUUGUUCAGUACAACAUGCGCCUCAGACGACUGUAAGUUGAAAUCUUUUGCUUCUUCUCGAUUACAACACCAUGUCUGUUCAAGACAGAACUAAAGGGUUUUCUCUGUCUCCUUCAGGGGCGUUGAAAGCGGAGAUGAUAAUGUAGACCCGUUAUCACACAGCAACAUGGAACUUCUUGAAUACUGGGUUUCCAGAAACCAAGUCUGUAUAGAAGGAAAUGGAAGCUCAGACUGGAAGUCACUGGAGUCCAUAAAGAGGACAGAAGAAGUAGCGGUUAUCGAUGAAACAGAAGACUUGGGCUCAGGUAAAAAGCUUCACACAAUCUAGUUUUUUAUUGGAGAUUGAAUAAUGGUGUGAGAAGUUGUUAUACGUUAAUUGUGUAAACAAAGGCUUUUUAAUGAAAUGUGAACAGGUUUUGAUGAUGCUGAGAUAUUCAAGGGAGAAAAAGAAGUGAGUGAUGAAGGUUAUUACACAAACAUAUCAGAGAAGCUGUUCACGUGAACUCACUAAGAAGACCUCUUUCUGUAAUCAUAGUGUUUGAUUUGGACAAAAAAAAAAUUGUGAUUUUCCUCUAGGGUUUGAUUUGUAUUCAAUAGGAGUCUUUACCAGUUACCAAUUUAAGCUGUAUCCCAUAAACUAAUUAUCACUCAGCAUGCAUUUCUCUAUAUGUUAGUGAGGACAAAUACCAUUCAAAGAUGUUGAUUGUUAUUAAUUUUCAGGGUUUGUCUAAUCUCCAGACUAUUCAAAUGUUACACAAAUACCCUUUUAUAUUAUCUCUUCUCUAGAUAUGGUCUUGAUGGAUUUUUUUUGGACAUGGGGUGAUCUUGAUUCUUGAAAAUAAAUUAGUGAAAAAUCGAGUUUAGAUUCAGACACUUUUUGAGGUUGUUAAAUCGGGUUUACAAUUGUCUUUAAUUCGUUAAUAAUGUAUGGUUAAGGUUGUGUGGUUUUCAAGAACGCACAUUUACAUAUAUAAAGAGCCUUAUCCUUAAAGAGAGUAGAAGAUACGUUUGGUUUCUGGUCUGUUCAGAGAAGAGAAAUGGAUGGGCUUAGCCACAUCGGUCUUCCUGUCCUGGGGAUUCUCGCAGUCUCCGUCGUUACUUUCUACGUCGUUAGCUUCGCCGAGAUCAGAGAGGUUGGUCGUUUUUCCCAAAACAACUUCUUUCUCUUCUAUUCCAAUUUCUCUGAGUAGAAACCUCAUCAAGACAAUAUUCUAGGUUCGAUUGAUGGAUUUUGAAUUGUGCAGAAAUCGUUUAAAGAUUUGUACGACUCAGAGAAUGGAGACGGAGCAGGGUUCAAGACUUCACUAAGUUCGAGAGAGAGAAGAUCGAGAAGAGAGGCAAAUAAGAAACGUCCUCGAUCUUGAAAAAUCCCCAAAAAAUAGCAAUGGAGAGUGGAGAGAAAACUAAGGCUUGUGUGCAUUCAAAAGCCAUCUUUGAUUUUGGUUGGUCAUAUGGUUCUGAUCACAUAGUGAGAAGUCCCACUGUUGUCUCUGUUUCCAUCAAGUAGACUGCAAAAUAACUAAAGCUUGUGUGCAUUCAAAAGAAAAGAUCCAAUCUUUGAGUAAAUGGGUUUUUAAAGUUGGAAACUUUAUUAUGCAAUAUAACUGAAAUGUUCCAGGGAGAGGAGAUGGGAGAAGAAUCUCUAAACCACUUCAUCAGAGCUUUGCUUCUCACUUCUUUUGCUGAGUCUUGAGUUCAUCGACCCUCUCUUCCGUUGCUUUCAAUGCCUUCCCGUAGAUAGAAAUCAACUGCAAAAUCAUAAAAACCAAAGAAGAGAGUUUCAGAGAGAAACGAACACAAAGAUUUAGCAGAUCAAAAACGUCUCAAGAUCUGUACUUUACCUCAUCGAUCUCUUCAGGUGAGAUAAUGAGCGGUGGACACAUCAUUAUGGCAUCACCUGCAACGCGGACUAUCAUCCCAUGCUUCUGGCACUCGGCUGCAAAGUAUUCCCCAACACCUAUAAACAUCAAUACAAAAAAAAAGAAAGAAAGUGUAAUAUGAGACCGUGAUCUUUUAACUUGUGCAAGUAGAGCAUUCGAACACGGCCUUCAAGUAGAGUAUAAGAGGGUUUAGAGAAGAGUUGCUACUUUACCCCAUUCAGGUGGAAAUGGUUCAUUUGGAGAUUUGUUUUCUGUAAACUCAGUCGCGAGAAUCAAACCCGUUCCUCUUAUCUGAAAACCAUUCACAGAAUACUCAAAUGCUACUUCAAAAGAAGAAGAAAAAAUGUGACUUUAAAAGAAAUGGUACCUCUCCAACAAUAGGACUACUGGAGAAAGCUUUAAGACCAUCUUGAAACCUUGAGGCAACUCUGUCUACAUGCUCUGGUAUGUUCCUUUCCCUGUAAUAUGAAUUUCUCGUCAAGAAAUUUCAGAUAAGAGUAAACAGUAGUGGGAUAAUACUCUUAUCAACUGCUAUGAGUUCUUGACAAAUUACAGUUUAAACUUACUUAUAUAUCUUUAACGCUUCAAUUGCUACAGCACAGGAAACUGGAUGACCAGAAUAAGUAAACCCAUGUGCGAAAAUACCUGAAAAUAACAAAGUUUUAUUUAAGCAUUGUAAGAUCAGAACAUUUUUAGAUAUAACAUUACUAAAAAAGUACCUAUCUUGUUGCUUUGGGAGUAAAUGACAUCUGACACUUCUUGACUCAUAAGAACGGCUCCAAUCGGCACAUAUGCUGAGGACAAUGCCUGCAUAUCAAUAACAUUUCAAUCUAUGCCCCGGAGAGAAAUUUUGUAAAAUCUACUAAUCAUCUUGCAAAAUCUGACCUUAGCGAAGGAAACAAGAUCUGGCUUGAUGUUGUAUUUGUCACAGCCAAACAUUGUCCCGAGCCUUCCAAAUGCACAUAUCACCUUAUAGUCCAAACAAUAUACAAAUUGUCUAAUGAUAUCUUCUCUUCUUUAAUAGAUUCUAGAGUUUUAAUUAAUAUGAUGAUGAUUCUGUGUGUGGACUGAUAUAUAGUAACAUUUUUUAUACAUGUACCUCAUCAGCAAUAAACAGGAUAUCAUAUUUCUUAACAACAGCUUGGACCUGCAACAACAUAAAAAGAGCAAAAAGAAACACACUUUGAUAAGAGUAUACGAUCCUAAUCCACAUCGAUCUAACCACUAAACCGCAUAAUUCAUGCUAUCUAUUAUGAAAGUUUUGGAAAAUGACCUUUUCAAAGUAGGUAGCAGGUGGAGGUAUCACACCACCAGCACCCAUGAGUGGUUCAGCGAUAAAAGCACCAAUCUACUAAGAAGACAUUUGUGUUAAAUUGAGAUUCCAACAUCAACACAAACGCAUAAAGACCAAAAGUAUUUAAUAGAAUGUUUACAGUUUCUGGUCCUUCUUUGAUGAUAAGAUCUUCUAAAUUCUUGGCUAAUCUGGUUGAGAACUCCUCUUCCGAUUCACCUGCAUAAACAGUUUGCAUGAUAUAAAAUAAAAAGAUUACUUUAUUUUGACUUUUUUUUUGAAAAAACGAAUUAACCUGGAAGAUGAUAACGCCAGUAAUGAGGACAAUCCGUGUAUAACAUAAAUGGUGCCGGUAAAUCAAAUUUUUGAUGCAUCCCUGGAAUUCUGGAACAAUGUAUGAAAUUUGUUAGAAUUUUUGGUUUUUUGUUUUUUGAAUUAGCACUUCUUGGAAGAUUUAACUGAGGAACAAUAGAUAUCUUUACCCAGACAAACUUGCUGACACCAAAGUAGAGCCAUGGUACCUGAAUUCAUAUAUAAGCACUUUAUUUUAAAAUCUAAUGGAAACAGACAAAUUGUUAUGGUGGAUGUGAGAAAACGAAUAUCAACCAAAAAACUGUAGACAUAUUUUAUAUUUUCAUGACCAAAGUUGUGUUAACUACGUCCAUGGAUAGUAUAUAUUAAUUGUGACCUGUGGAAGAUCACUUGAAAAUACUAUAGUGGCGAAAAUGAGAACAAGAACUAUUUUUUGUGCUAUUUUAGGGAUAUUUCUCUAGGUUCAAAGCAUAUCAGCACAAUUUUUUUUUUCCCUCACGAUGUGCUUCUUGCGAUAAUUUUUCUUCUUCUCAGGCCUUCCAAGUGCGUUAUUGUAAUACCAAACCAGCUUGACCUGCAUUAAAUAUAAUAAUAGAUUUACAAACAUCAUUAGAGGAUAUCAGAGCUAGAGACAAAUAGUUAAUCGAAACAAGAAGAAAAAGUAAUUUUCUGAAUAUGAAACGAAUCUUUAAUUCCUCUAGGAUAAACAGUUUAGGAUAGAGUUAAAUAUAUGGAAACCUGGGUGUCAUUAGCCUCUGAUCCACUGUUUGUAAAAAAUGCUUUGGUCAUUUUGUUGGCAGUGAACAUGUCUAAAAGUUCCUUAGCAAGAUCCUGUUUUUUUACAAGAAAAACACAUCACAGUGACCAAACUCAACAAAGAAACAAAUUAGCAUAAUGGCACCCAAAACGAAAAACUAUUGACUACCAGAGAAGGUUUAGUAGUAAAGUUCCAAAAGGAGUGGUAAAACGGCAAGGUGUUCAAUUGUGAAACCGCAGCAGAAACAAGCCGUGGCUCAUUUCCUCCUGCAAGAUUUUGUGGUAUCAAUCACAUAACUUGCACAUCAAGCAAACCCCCCAAAAAAACCUUACACAUCAAGACAUGUGUAGUAAUAGAAGGAUAAAUGAGGAAUAACCCAAGGCUGUACACCAAAGACCAGCGAGAGAAUCAAGAUACUUUUUCCCAUGGAUAUCAUACACAUAACUCCCCUGUAAAAAAAAUUAAGAAGGAUGAAAGAAAAAUUGUCACACUUGUUUGUAUCAAGUGGCAACAUUUACAAUUUAUUAUGGUCUAUCAAAAGAAGUAUCACUUCGGAUUUUGCUAUGAUCAACGGAUCUAAAUCAGCACUCUGCCACCCAGCUGUAAAAGGUGCAAGCAUACUAUGACCCUUAUACCUGUAAGAAAAACAGUUGCACUAUUCACAAACUCGUAAAGCAUUCAGUGGCAUUUGUGUUGGCAAAAACAUAGAACAUAAUUAAGAAUUAAGAAACUAGCAUCAUAAGUGACACAAUUAGGGGAAUUGACCAUUUCGGUGUAUGGAUAGACGAAAAAUUCUUGGGACUGAUAACACAAUUAUAUAUAUAUAUAUAAUUCUAUUUUAUACAUAUAUACUUUUAAAUAGAUUUACUGAUAUUCUAUUGAUAAAACAUACUAAUGUUAUUCAUGGAACCUAAUGUUAUAUUCUAUAUUUUCUUCUUUGAACUUCUAUGAGAAAUAUUGGAAGCAAGAUUUCUAUACUAAAAGAUAAAAUUCAACUGUAUAGAUUGAGAGAGAGAGAGAGAGAGAGUAGGAGUUUGGUAUUUGUUUGGCAUUUUUCCCCAUUACAAUUUAGUGGCCUAUGGGCCCUAUAAUUUAUUACUUUUCAAACAAAAUAUUAAAACGUAUCUUCUUCUUUCUUUUUUGGCAUUUUUUCACCAUUAUAAUUGAGUGUCCUAUUACAGUAUAUAUUUACUUUUCGAACAAAGGAUAAAAUGUGUAUUGACUAUUGUGUCUAAUUACUUGAAUAGUUGGUCAUUCCCUUCCAUUAAUUAUAGACCAUUUCAUAGUCCUAUCACCAAAUUUCUCUAAAACAAAAUUACUAUGAAACUCACCCAACUGAAUUUUGCUUCUUUGAUGAUGCAUCUGUAGUGAAUAUCCUCGAGGUAAUGUUCCCAUGCAUGCAUUUGACAGAAGCAACGUACCUUUUCUGCAAAGUAACCUGCCAUGAGGGGGAAGAUAUAUAUUAGCACUGAGCUAUGAACAACUUCACUAUUUUUUCUUUUGUUUUUGGUAACUAAGAAAUUCGAAAACAAAAAAAAGAAAUUCGAAAACAAAAAACUAAGAUAUUCGAGCCUUAGGCUUAUUUUUAAUCUCUUCGGACCGGAGACCAAAACAUGUUAGUUUAAUUCAGUCUCCUUCUUGUCGUUGGUACUCGAACAAGAUUCUCCCCCUUAAAGGGUUUAAUAUUACUAUUUAGGUUAUACAACAUAAAUUCACUUUCCAAUUUUUGGCAUCCAAAUUAACGUUCUACUGAAAAAGGAGAGAAACGUAAGAAACCUGACUGGUAUGAGCCAAGCGUCGGAGGCAGUUGAUCAAGGCCAUUUCUCGUAUGUGGAAUCUCAAACCGAAAUGAAGAAUUAAACACAGAAAAAAAAAGAAUUAAACACAGAGAGAAAUAUUAUUAGAGGAAAAGAAGGAGAAGCGAGUGGAUUUUUUCAGAAGGAGGAUAAUAUUGGUUUUUAUAGACAUAUAUGAACGCCUUAUGAAACAUAAUAUAUACUUUGUUGUUAUCUCUUCAAGUUCAAUUGCUUUUAGCCAAUGACUUGUCCAAUGACAAUGACUAGUAAUCCUAGUACGAAUAAUUUGGUUUAUUGAAAAAUUCAAUAAACUGUCCUUUUCAGUAUAAACCAAAAUAGACUGUCUUCUUCAGCAAAACCAAACUAUCCCCACUAGAAUCAUUUUUCCUCCAAGUGGAGAGUGGAGAGUACAGUUGAAGUUUGUUGAUUUUACUCAACUUCUACAAAAACAAAGACUUGAAUCAGAAAAUAAAGCUAGCUAGCUACAAAAUAAUAUAGGCAAAAAGUGAUCAAGGCUUAUAGAGAAACAAACAUAAAGGCACGAGACAUUAAACCAAGUGUGUAAACCUGGAUCUAGUAAGCAAGGAGAAUAAAAAAUUUGUUGACUUAGCUCAAAUUCUACUAUCUACAAUCAAUACUUCACUAAGAAAAAAAGAAAAGAAAAUCAACUCCAUGAGAUUCAGCAUCAUUCAUCAGUUUUGACUAGUAAAUGCGUAAGGAUUUGCAAGAGGAAAAUAUCAAGUACCACCAUGAAACGAAACUACUUACGGCUUGAAAGAAUUUGAGUUGUUCAGCUUCUUAAGAACAUAAUGUGCGAAAAGAUCAUGCCAUAUAAUAUGAAGCCAUCCAGGUUUUUAAAGGUACUGCAAAAUAAUAUAUAUAGACAAAAAGUAAUCAAAAGACAAAACUUGUAAAAUUAAACAUAAAGGCAUGAAACAAGAAGAUUAUGGUUUUUGCUUCCAUAUAUAUUUUCUGUGCUAUUAAUGAGAUUUGUGUAGCGUUUGGCAUGAGAUUAUUAUUUUGUAUGUUUUUGGGAUAUUUAUUAUAAUUUUUGUGUUUCUAGAUUUGUUUGGGACUGUAGUUUCUUUGUUUGGUAUGUUUUUUUUUUGUGAAAUGUUGGUGUAAUAUUUAGUUUGACAUUAUGAUUUUCGUUAACUAUAUUCUUCUAUAUUGUAUGUUUGUGUUAUUACUUAUGAUGUUUGUGGAAUGUUUUGUAAUUUUUAUUUUUUAAGUAAUUAAAUUUGUGAUGCAGAUUUUUUUUUUUUUUGAAAAUUGAGAAGACUUAUGGUAAUUACCAAAUGAAAUAAAAAGAAGAAAAGAUUGGCUUUGUGUAAGAUGGAACCAAUAGCUCUUCUUUUUUUGAAGUUCAAAAACUUUAAUGCAAUAGCCUUGUGGAGAUUGCUAGCUUCAAGACGUUAAACCAAAACAAAACAACACUACUAUAUUUAUUUUAUUAACAAAAUCACAACAAUUCUAAAAAGCGAGAACAAAACUACUGAACAAUUGGGCCUAAUAUUAAACCCAAGUAUGUACUAAUCCCAAAACCUAAACUAUCGUCGUUUCUUAUCAAACAAAACAAAAUCUAUCUCUCUAACAAUAAAUACGUAAUUAGCAUUUUUGUAUGUUUAGUUGGUUUGGUAAGAUGAUUUUGGUAACAUCGUCAGUUGUUUAUUCCUCAUAGAAUGACGCAUUUGUUAAGACUUGUGUAGAAAAAAGACAAAAAAGAUUCAAACUUUUGAUGAUACAAAAGAUCCUUUCCACUAUUUAGUCCCUCAUUUACAGUUAAGACUUAAGACCAUUUUCCAUAGCUGUCAUUUGGUGAGGAGCUCGAGAGAAAUGGAGUUAAAAUUGACAUCUUUAUUAUGCAUAUCACUGAAACUGUAAAUUGUGCAAAGCAAAUGGCAAACAAUUCAAGGAGAGAGAUGGGAUUAAUCUAAACCACUCAUCAUAACUCUCUGUUUCUCACUUCUUUUGCUGAGUCUUGAGUUCCUUUACCCUCUCUUCCGUUGCCUUCAACGCUUUCCCGUAGAUAUCGAUCAACUGAAAAAAAUGAUAAAAUCCCAAAGAAGGAAGAAGAAAAGGGUGAGUCUCAGGGAAUUUGGUCACAAGAUUUAGCAGACAAAAAGCCUUAAAAAUGACUCAAGAUUGGCACUUUACCUCAUCGAUCUCUUCAGGUGAGAUAAUGAGCGGUGGAGACAUCAUUAUGCUAUCACCUGCAACACGGACUAACAUCCCGCGCUUCUGGCACUCUGCUCCAAAGUAUGCGCCAACACCUGCAAACAUUGAUUGCAAAUGGUAGGGAUUUAGUAAAGUAGUGAGUUUAGGAGAGGAGAAACAUUUUUUGGUUUUGGUCAUGAGAGAGACUUCACCCCAUUCAGGUGGAAAUGGUUCGUUUGGUGAUUUGUUGUCUGUAAACUCUGUCCCGAGAAUCAAACCCGUUCCUCUUAUCUGAAUAUGAUCACAAAAUGCCCCAAUGUUUAAUCAAAUACUUCAAAAGAAAAGCUAAUGACUAAAAGAAAUUAUACCUCUCCAAUAAUAGGACUACUCUUGGAGAAAGCUUUAAGACCAUCUUGAAAUCUUGGGGCAACUUUGGCGACAUGCUCUGGUAUGUUCCUUUCCCUGUAAUAUGAAGAAAAUAAGUGCAGAUAAGAAUCGAGUAACUUUAUCACAUGUGUGUGAGACAGGUUUUGAGUUUUUGGCAAAUUACAAUUUCAAAACCGGCUUACUUGCAUGAACGAGCAAAAGUGACAAACUUACUUGUAUAUCUUUAACGCUUCAAUUGCUACAGCACAUGAAACUGGAUGACCAGAAUAAGUAAAUCCAUGCGAGAAAGCACCUGACAUAAAAAAAAAACAAAAACAAAAAUUACUGGCAUUUUAAGAUCAGAACACUGGAAUAUUACCACGGUGAACAUUACUAAAAAGGUACCUAGCUUGUUGCUUUGAGAAUAAAUUACAUCUGCCACUUCUUGACUUAUAAGAAUGGCUCCAAUCGGCAUAUAUGCUGAAGAAAGUGCCUGCAUAUUAAAACAUUUACAACAUGUAUGUGAAAUUUGUCAACAGAGGAAGUAAAGAAAAAAUACUCGGUUUGCAAAAUCUGACCUUAGCUAAGGAAACAAGAUCUGGCUUGAUGUUGUAUUUGUCACAGCCAAACAUUGUCCCGAGCCUUCCAAAUGCACAUAUCACCUUAAUUAAAGUCCAACAAAAUAAAAUUAGAUAAAUGGUAACCCAUCUUCUUGAUCGAUUUUGGGGCCACGAUCCUGUGUGUGGACUCAUAUUAAACAAGGUUUAAUUAGAUAUGCACAUACCUCAUCAGCAAUGAACAGAAUAUCGUAUUUCUUAACAACAGCUUGGACCUGCAGCAGAGGAAAAAGAGCUCAAUGUUACAUCCAGAAAGAUCUAACCACUGAACCACAUAAUUAUGCUUAGUACCAACAAAGUUUACGAAAUUGACCUUUUCAAAGUAGGUAGCAGGAGGAGGUAUCACACCACCAGCACCCAUGACUGGUUCAGCGAUAAAAGCACCAAUCUAGUAAGAAGACAUUUUUGUUAGAUUGAGAUUCCAACAUCAUCACAAAUGCAUAGAGACCAAACGUAUUUAAAAGAAUGUUUACAGUUUCUGGUCCCUCUUUGAUGAUAAGAUCCUCUAAAUUCUUGGCUAAUCUGGUUGAGAAGUCCUCUUCCGUUUCACCUGAACAAACAAUUCCAAGGUUGAGAUCAAUGAUUACUUUUACUUUAAAAAAAGAAUUUAGAAUCAUUCAUAGUAAAUACCUGGAAGAUGAAAACGCCAAUAGUGAGGGCAAUCUGUGUGCAACACAAAUGGUGCAGGUAAAUCAAAAUUUUGGUGCAGCGCUGGAAGACUAGAAGUAGAAGAUAAAUUUGUUAGGUAGUAACGAAAAGAAUCUUUAGAACAUCUACAAAGAAUGUCUGAGGAACUAUAUUUACUCUACCCGGAUAAACUUGCUGAUAUUAGAGUGGAACCAUGGUACCUGAAGUCAUAAAACCGAACUAAUAAACACCUUGAGAUCUUAUAAAAUAAGACAAACACAAAAUGACAAGCAGAUAUCUUUCUCACGAUUUAUUUCUUGCGAUAAACUUUUUCUUCUCGGGCCUUCCAAGUGCGUUAUUGUAAUACCAAACCAGCUUGACCUGCAGAUAGAUACAGGAGAUUUAUAAACAACUCUUAUAGGCAAACAGCUUAGAAAAUCAAGGUACAGCGCAUAGUUAUGGAAACCUCAAACCUGUGUAUCAUUGGCCUCUGAUCCACUGUUUGUAAAAAAUGCUUUGGCCAUUUUGUUAGCCGUGAACAUGCCUAAAAGAUCCUUAGCAAGAUCCUGUUUUGCAGGUAAACCAGCACAGUGAUCAAAUUCUCUUUGAUUACCCAUUAAGUAUACUGCCCUGAGUCUUAACAGCACACAGAAAGCAGCAGCAGACAGUAGAAAAAAAAAAAACUUUAUAAUAAUGGCACCAAAAGGAAAUGCCUAAGUACCAGAGAAGGUUUCGUAGUACGGUUCCAAAAGGAGUGAUAAAACGGCAAGGUGUUCAACUGUUCCAUAGCAGCAGAAACAAGCCGUGGCUCAUUUCCUCCUGCAAGAUUUUGGGGAGGGUCAGAGUCAAGGACGUAAAGCCAACACAUUCACAACUAUCCAGGAAAUCCAAACUGUACAAGAGAAACAUCAAGUCAUGUGUAUCAAGAUAAAUGAGGAAACAACCUAAGGCUGUACACCAUAGACCAGCGAGAGAAUCAAGAUACUUUGUCCCAUGGUCAUCAUACACAUAACUUCCCUGUACAAAUUUAAGAAAAAUGUCAUAACUUACAUACAUAACACUACUUUGAAUCAACAUUUACAUUGCACGCCGAUAAAAAAACCAACAACCAGUAAAAUAAAGUUGACAUUUUUGAUAUGUACCUCAGACUUUGCUAUGAUCAAGGGAUGUAAAUCAGCACUUUGCCACCCAGCUGUAAAAGGUGCAAGCAUAUCAUGCCCUUUAGACCUGCUCAGAAUUUCAUGUAAGUUCUAAGAAACACAUUUCCACUAUUCAUUACUCUACUGAAGCAUCAGAAAUCAUCAAAUCGAAACUCACCCAGCUGGUUUUUGCUUCUCCGGUGAUGCUUCCGUAGUGAAGAUCCUCGAGCCAGACAUGGAUUUGGAAGAAGCAGCAUAUCUACUCUGCAAAUUAACCUGCCAUGAUAGGAAAAAUAUAUUCUUUCAUAUUAGCACUAAGGUUGACCUACGAAUCACAUCACCAUUUGGGUUCCCUAAUUACUGGAGAAUCCCCAAAAAGUAUAAUUCCAAAAAGACACCUGAGCUAUUUCAUCAAGCUUGGAGUAUCAAUUUGUUGAUUUCUUACAAAAAAAAUACAAAUUUUUAAUCUCAGCAUUUUUCUGAAUCCUGAUCUACUAAACGAAAAAGGAGAAGGGUGACGAGUGACGAGAGAAAAGUUAUGAUUUUAGGUAACAAAAUUCUCUAGGUCUGAUGAUGAUGAUGACGCAGUUAAAAGCAAUCGAGGAAUCAUCUAUCCGGAAAUAAUAAGAUAAUCGAAAGAAGAAGCGAGUAAGAAGAAGAACUCGAUGGUAUCGAGAAGAACCUGAGUUGUACGAGCCAAUCGUCGGAGGCUGUUGAUUGCUGCCAUUUCUCGUAAGUCGAAUGUCUCGAAGCAGAACGAAGAAACAGAGAGAAGAAAUGAUCAAAGAAGGAGGAAUCUGUAGAAUCCUGGAUUCUUUGAGAGUGAUGAAGGAUCAUGAUGGCUUUAUGAAUCAAAAAUAUCUUAUUUAUCACUUCAAGUUCCAUUUGAUUUUGACCAAUGACGUGUCAUUGAGUCAUUGUAUAUUUACAAUAAUUUAGUUUUUAUUGAUAGGCUGCCAUAGUAUUUAGCAAAUUUCUUACCAUAUUAAACCGCAUCAACUAGGCCAACUAGUAGAAAAAAACUUCCAAACUUGGUUAGAUAUUAAAUUGAAGUUAGUAGGGGAUAACACUUAUACAAUUUACGAGUGUUCACUACAUUAUUAUUACAUCAAAUACAUAAAAAAAUUUGUCUUGUUUGUUGACAGGUGACACAUAUGAUAAGGAAAAAAAAAAGAGUCCUCCUUAUAAACGGUAAAAGAUAAAAGAUUUUUUUACUGUCUUCUUUUGACCAAUAUUUUUUUACUGUUGUCGACAAAAAAAAAUCUUUUUUUCUGUCUGAACAGUAAUCGUAAUAUAACACAAAUCACUAAGCUAUGUAUAAUUAUCGGUGUAUUAAUUUGAAUACUGCAGCAAAAUAAAAAUGAUCCCGUUAAGUAACAAACGUUACAAAAUCAGUCAUAUCAUAUCAUAUAUGACAACACGUCACAUAAGAAAAAAAGAUUUUUUGUCUUUCAUACCAAAUAUUAUUCUUUAGAACUUAUAUAGUGUAAAUGCAUGCAUUAAAGCCGUCGAAUAAAUAAAGCUCAAAACUGCUUGCCGUUUUACAACUCAAUAAACGCUGCUAAGUUUCAGGUUAUCGCGGCGCAAAUUAGCACCGUACGGCGUGCAAUCUAUCAAUCAUUCAUUCGUAUCUGACGAGAGGGAAACGAAACGAUAAUAAUCAAUUUUUAGCUAAGUCCAAGUCCUAUCUAUCUGUAAUCCUUCAUUCUUCAGAUAGAGAAAGAGAGAAAUGGACUUUUUGGAGAGAGAGUAAAAGUAGUGCGAGAAAGACGAUCAGUGACUGAAGAAGAUCACUCACUCUCACACCCUCUCUGGAGAUCUCAUCGGCCGAUCUUUUCUUCCCCACCUGUAAAGUUUCUAAUUUUGCUUCUUUUUAUGUCUGCUCAUUUCUCAAUUCCCUCUCUCUUAAUUUGAGAGUUUCUUGAAAAAGUUUGGUUUUUUUUGUUGGUAUAAAGAGUUGUUGAUUUAGUGUUCGUCACUUUCAUUUUGGGAUCCAAAAGAGUGUAGCGACUCAAUUGAGUUUCCUUAUCUGUGUCUCUGUGCUUUUAAUUACUUAUUAAUUAAACCCAAAACAGAAAGUUAUCAUUUUUGUUUCGAAUUUUGAAUAAUUCAGUUGCUAAAUGCAAUCCUGCAGGUCGUUGUUAUCUUUGCUGAUCGUUGAAAUCUGAUACAAUGGGUGCUUCGGGGAGGUGGAUUAAAGCAUUGGUUGGUUUCACGAAAUCUGAUAAGUCAAGGUCUUCAAAAAAAGAUGACAAUGUGAGUACUCUAUGCUAUUUUGAUUACAAGAGUAUCUCUUUAUCAAAUUAUGCAAAUGUUGGUUAAAAAAAUGUAUACAACCUUCAUCUUAUUUGUAUUCAUGAAGGUAAAGAUUGCCACCAAGAGCCGGUUUGGGAGAAAGAAUUCAGUUGAUUUUGACGCUGAAAAAUUUCAAGACGGAUUUGAAGAUUCCAAUGCGCAUAGUAUGAUAGAUACUGGUGUCUCUACUUCGACUUCACUACAAUCAUAUGGUGCAGCUUAUGAAGAGCAAAGGAAAGAACAUAGAGCUGCGACACGCAUCCAAACAGCUUAUAGAGGAUUUCUGGUAUUAGUUUCGCCUUAUUAAGUUGAUUGUAUUUUCCUUGUUGCCUUGUAUAUCUAUCUGCAUGCUUUGCUUUGUGGGUUUGAUUGGACUGAAGUAAAGAUGAUACAUUUCGUAGGCUAGAAGGGCUUUACGAGCGUUGAAGGGAUUGGUUAGACUUCAAGCUCUUGUCAGAGGACACGCGGUGAGGAAACAAGCAGCGGUAACGCUUCGAUGCAUGCAAGCGUUAGUAAGAGUUCAGGCUCGUGUACGCGCAAGACGUGUUCGUCUUGCCUUGGAAAGUGAAACGGGUCAGCAGACACUUCAGCAACAGCUAGCUGAUGAAGCCCGAGUUCGAGAAAUAGAGGUGAUGUUCAGUUGUUCACUUGUCUCAGUUAUAUACAAACUUUGUAUGGCCUUUACUUUUUGUUGAGAGAAUUACAGUAAUGUUGACUAUGUGAAAAUCAUCUCUCAGGAAGGUUGGUGCGAUAGCAUUGGAUCUGUUGAACAAAUACAAGCAAAGCUGGUAAAGAGGCAGGAAGCUGCAGCUAAGCGUGAGAGGGCUAUGGCAUAUGCUUUGACUCACCAGGUUACUCACAACCACUAUGCUAUUUAAGAAGUAACUGUUUGAAUUUGCUCACUUUGUUAAGAAGUAAUUGUUUGAAUCUGCUCACAUUGUACAAAUCAUAACAUCCCUGAAUAGUCUCUUUGAUCGUCAAUGGUUCUCUUCCAUAGGACCAAUCUUUAACCAAACACACUAUGACAAUCUCCCAUGAAAGUGUAUCUUUUUGCUUAUGCUACUGGCCUCAUCUCAGCCCCGAUCACAGUUUCCGGUGCUGUUGUUUCUUUGUGUAUGCAAAAGGAUCUUUCUUUGUCUUACAUACAAAUUGCUCUCUUGUAGUGGCAAGCGGGAACUCGGCAGUUAUCUGCGCACAGUGGCUUUCAACCUGACAAAAACAACUGGGGAUGGAACUGGUUGGAAAGAUGGAUGGCUGUUCGUCCAUGGGAGAACCGGUUUCUUGACAGUAACCUCAGGGAGGAUACGACAUUAGUUGAAAACAAUGUGGAGCAGUCUGAGAAUUUGCAUAAAACGCAGAUGAGAAAUGCAAGCAAAAUGCCAAACACUUCAACUCUUGUAUCCGGUGUUUCAAGUCAGAAGGCAACCGGGCCAUCUCUGUCGGAUAGUAAUUCGUCUUCUCCUGGAAUAUCUUCAAGCAUUCCAGUGGUAUCCAAGGCUAAGUCAAAGCUUGCUAAAGACGAUCUUGCUGUAGAAGUUAACUCAAAACCUGGCGCUGGUCCAAGAUCGCACAGCAAUCCGAAAGAAAGAUCAAGAGAGCCAAUUAGAUCUUCAAAGGAACGAUUAUCUCUGCCAAACAGUGGUUAGAUCUCUUUCUCUCUUUCUCUACGCGUAGGAAACCUCGUUUCUUUUCCCUUCUGUGAUGAUUGAAUGAAUAGUCUUACCAACAUGGUGAUAGUGAUAAGAGAAUCAGUUUUGCAUUGGUCAUUACGAUUCAAACCACAAGUUAGAUAAUUAGGUUAACUAAGUUUUAGUAAAACCUACAAAUCUGAUCUAUUGUGUCAGGGGAGAGUUUGACCAGGCCUCAAAUCAAUCUGAAUACAUUAUUAAACACGGAACAAGUCACAUUCAACUAAGACGCAUACAUUUGAUCUUUGAAACAUUUCGGUUGUCUUUGGUUUUAUUGUCCUUUUAAGUCUAAAUUGUGAAUAUUCUUGAGCAGGAAGAUCCUCAGGAUCUCAGUCAGCUAAAGCCAGCCGAGCGGGAAAACUCACACCAACAUCUCAUAAAGUAGUCGAGGAGAAAACUGCCCAAAACCAGAGAAGACGUAAUUCCGAUCCAAUAAAACAGAGGCUCGCAUAGCCAUGUUAAGUGUACAUACACAGGUUCUGAUGAAAUGAAAGAAAAAUGAUAAAGACAAAAAUCAUGGAAGAACAGAAUGGGUUUCAAAACUCGAGAGAGCUGCUUGGUUCAUCGAACAAGAAGAGAACAGCGUCUUUCUGCUUUCAUUGUUGUCGUUAUUUAUGUUAGCCAUCCCUUUUUUGUCCAUGAUUCUCUGUGGAUUCAUAUAUAUGGACCGGUAAGUAGUCUUAUAAUUUUAAGUAAGGUGUUUGGGGUAUAUUUGUGAAACAGUUUUUGUUGGGAGAACAGACCAUGCUGCUCGUGGCCCUCCCAAUGUGAUUAUAUAGAGUUCGUUGUUUUGUAUACAUUUUCCCAUUUCAAAAGAGUGAUCUUUAUCAAUAAUUAGUUGCUUUGCAAAAGUGAUUAAUUUAAGUGCAAGAAAAGAAACUGCCUAUCAAAGAAGCUCAAAUCAUUGAAAGAAAACUAAUAAUCCUAAUUUCCUUUCGAGAAAUACGCUUAGUUUAUCUACUUGAUGCUAGAACCGGGUUGCGAGUUUGUCCCAAGACCUCCAGGGGUAAACACUGGAAGCUGGUUUGAGUUUAAAUCCCUUCUAAAUCUUGCAUCACGAUGAAGUGUCGAUGCCAAUCUGUCAUGUCCCUCUCUUACCAAGCUCCUUUCACUUCUCGGGUUACUUCUAGUCGGGAUAUUAACCAGAGGUCCUCCAAAGAAUAUAGAGUCACCAGUAUAUGUCAGUCUUCUCUCGGCUUGCUGCAGAGGAAGAGGAGCCUUUAACGCUGAUGAUCCAGAAGAUGAAUCUUGAGGUGGAAGAAUAGGUCUUGGAUUCUGAGUGUUGGCUAUUUGUGAGCUAGGAUUUGGCAAUCUGUUGCGGCCUUCAGGCAUUGUCGUUACAGGAGCUGAUACGUAUCUCCCAGCUUCGGGAUCCCAAACAACCGAUGUCUUUCUCACGUCUCGCAGAAGCGAAGUUGCAGGAUUGGAGAGAAACAGCGGAUCAGCGCCGUUUCCUCUGUGCAGCACCUUUUCAUCAAACGUCGAGUGCAUGUGAUGGGUUGUUGCUGCGAAGCGAUGGUCAGUUAAUGUAUGAUUGUGAGGGAGAGGAGCAAGUGUGAUAGACUCGUGAACAUGGCUUGGACUGCUGAAAUUGCUAAUGCCAUGGCUUCCAGUGUCAUACUCAUCCCGGCUACUCUGGGUUGGAGCAAACGAGUUUCUAGAAAGAGAUGACCGUAGUUCAUUGUUCUGCAUCUCUUUACUUGCAGUCACGUUUGCAUCUGUGCUUACACUGCUGAUGAUACUAACUGUGCCAAUGGAACUUAGUUCAUUAUCUUGUAAAUGGCGAUUAUCUAUCGGUCUUAGGACAGAUGAAGAUGCUCUGGCUCUGGCGGCUGCCCUUGCUGCUUCAUUUGCAUCCAACUUAGCGAGCUUCCAUGCAUUACGUUUGACAACGGGUCUUUUCGGAGCCUUGAUGCCUCUCCCUGCUGCAUCUGGAUCUACGGUCGACGGGACCAUGUGAGGGUCUAAAUGGGGAAUGACUUCAUCCUGCAAUAGAAAUUAUAACUGGCAAGUCAAUACCGGACCAUCAUCUCAGUUUAGGCAGUACAUGUAUGCAACAAUUAACGCAUUUCAUCAUCGCCUUUCAAGGUCAUACAUAGCGAUUAAUACCAUGGACAACACGAUUUUCCAAUGAGGUAUAAAACCAACUAUAGCAAACCAAAACUCUAAUGAGUUUUACAAGAGAUUAGAGAUGCGAUGAAAUAGAAUGGUUGGAUGUUUAGGAAAAGGAAGAGAUACCUGAUCAUCAACAAACACUCUAGGUGGAGUGCACCAGACACCCUUUUUGUAUGGUAGGCCGAGAGAGCUUCCACCACUAAAGCCGGUUGUGGCAGACCCGGUAGGAGAAUAGAGCACAUUCUGAAUUUCCUCAUCAGCUGGCACCUCGCUCAUGGCUCUCAUUGCCACAACAUACUCAUACGUUGUAAGUCCCUGCCGAUAUUAAACAGAAGAUAACCUCACAUUGCUUAUACUGGAACAUGCCAUCAGCAAGUUAUAAACAAAGUUGUAGACAUAAGUUAAAAUGCCGUGAGCUUUAAAAUUGGGAAAGGAGUUCGGGAGAAUGGUUCAGAUGGUUAUAGUUAUGAAAGAUACAGCUGAACAUUAAGAUAUAAAGCAGCUAACAAAAAUUAUCCAAGUUUAACCUCACUACUAUGCAACCAUGGAUCUCUUGUGCUAAGAAAAAUUCUCAGUGUUAUAAGUAAGUAAAAUAAAAGCUAGCUUCUUUCCUACUGACCUUUUUAAUGAGCAGCAUGUGGAAAAAGAGAAGUUCACCCAGUGGAAAACAUGCCAGAAUGGUAACAACAGUGCAAAGACCCUACAUAAUUUGCAGAUAUGACAUUAGGAAACAGGACCACACCUCCAAGCAAAGACACAACAUCAAGAAUACUUACAACAACUGCCGCAAAAGGUGCACGGGAGAAACUAUUUCCAAGUCUAUUGACAAUUUCGGUUUCCAUGCUCUUCCUAUUAACAAAAACACGAACUAUAACUGCGAUUCCGACUGCUGCUUCAAUAAUGAGCUGAGGAAGAAAGCGUAACCUUUUAAUGGUUAAGUGAUAAAUAAGUUUAAGAAAUAGAACAUACUACAAGGCAAAUACAUACCCAAAGAAGGCUGGCCGUCAUCAGAGACACAAAAGUCAUGUAGUUUUUGCGACCGACACAAUUGUUAAGCCACUGUAGCAUUUAUUACAACUAUGUCAUCUACUGAACCCAUGAAAAUCUAGUCAAAUAUCCAGACAAAGGCAACUGAUUGCAAUAAAAAAAUUUGAAAACAUGAGAGAGUUUACCUUGCAAUGGUGAUCGAAACCAUCAACGCAUUUAUCACAGCUUCGACAAUGCUUGCUGAACUUGCGUACCUGUGACAAAUUCAUGCAUAAUUGACUUUUAUAUUAAGGAGUAUACAUGUACACUUGACAAAUACAGCUAUGGGGACUUGACUGUAGCCAUGUUAUAUAUCUUGGAACCAUUGUUACUAUACCUCAGAAUUGCACAAUGUGCAAAAUAGAGCCUCUUCGCUGUUUCCCUGUUGUUCAGCUCUUUCUUCCUGUUUCCAGCAGUCCUCAAGAACAAACACGCAACAGAAGAUAGCCAGAGGAUUAUAGCAAGUUUUUCUACGAACAGAGUCCACUCUUUGAGCAUCUCCUACAGAACCUUUCACACUAGAGUUUGGUGCUAAGGUAGAACUCCUGGAGACAAUUGAAGGAGAAGACUGCAACUGACUGCCAGUUUCAUCAAAAUUCCUGGAGAUAUCUCUAGCUGAUAAGGCACGAGCCAUGUCAGCUCUGUGAAUGCCUGUAUCAAAUAUUGACAUGAUUCUUGGAUCUGCAGGGUUGAUUGCAGUACAGCGAACAUACAGAACGAACACAAGAAGAGCCUGCAAACACAUAAUCCAUCAACAUUGAGUAAUGCAGUAAGAUAUGUAUAUCUUCACACUUAUAAGCAUCAUCUCUAUUUCCUCGCUCAGAUGCUCAAAACCUAAAACUCGUGGAUGAAUUUGCAUAUUGAUACUAAAAAUCAAUGCUUGUGCUCUUGGUUAUAUGGUUUUAUUAAGUUGCUAAGAACGAACUUUAACUUAGAUUGUGAAGUAUACAACUUGAGAAGCAUUGAACAUACCACCGGAGAGUAAACACCGAUCAAGACGUAUUCCCAAAUGCGGCCACCGACGAAAGGAGCAAAGAAAGCAUAAUAAGCGACCACCAACAAGCAAAACACAGUAAUCGCAAUCACCUGACAACAAACAUAUAUCAGGAGCCAUUUCUAUCGCCAAUCAAAAUCACAACUUUUGAUUGACCAGGUUCGUCGACAGGAUCGUAUAAGAGAUUGGAAUUCGAUUAAUGGUUAUAGAAGGUUACGAAUCGAUUACUUGGAGUGUGUGAGCGGGAAGUUGCCAACCGUGUUUCCUCACCAUAGCUUCUCCAAUAGCAACAACAGAACAACCAGAGAACUAGUCGAAACCCUAAUGUCAACAACGUCUCCGCCACGGUUUCACGGCCGGGAGAUGAUCAAGUGGGAGGCGGAGCUGUGAGAGGGAAGAAAAGGAAAGUGACUGACUGAGAAAAUAUCGUCUCUCUCUCUAACUCUGACUGUGGCAGGUUUUAGUCGUAAUUAUUGACCAAAAAACUAUUACAUCUAUUAUAUUAAAACACAAGCACAUUUAGUUGAUUGUUUCCUAAAUUUUUUUAAAAAUAUUUUAUAUAUAUAUAUAAAUUUAAUUCCGAAAAUUAGAUAUUAAUUUAGAUAACUAAAAAUUUGCUUAAAUAUAGGUUAUAUCUAUAUUCUAUAGAUAUUAAUUUAAAUAGAUUUUCUUAAAUAUAGGUUAGAUUUAAUUUAAUAUUUGAAAUUUAAAUAAAAUUUUUAGAAUAACACAUAUGAUUAAAAAAUAUCUUAUUAUAUUUUUUAAUUAUAUUAUAUCAGAUUAAAAUUUCACAUAUUAAAAAUAGAUAAAUAUUAAUAUUAUAUAAUAAUUUGAUGGGAUAAGUUAAGUUUUUUUGUUAGGUUAUGAAAGCAUGCAUGAUAUUAAGAGAAAAUUAUUUCAAAAUUAGUAAAUAAUUAUAUUAUAAAAUAAUAUAAACGGGCGGAUUAGAAUUAUUGUAUCAUAAAUAUGGUUUUUCGUAUUAAUAAAAUGAGCAAGUUAGAAAUACAUUUUUAUAAUAACAGUCACUUUUAAAUUAAUAAAAUAAUCGGGUUUAAAUUAUAUUUUUAUGAUCAUGAUGGUCAUAAUAAUACUGAAAAAAAUAUAUAUCUAAACACAAAUUCUUUUUAUACCACUUAUUAACAAAUUAUAUUUAUAAAGAAAAUAUAAAUUUUGAUUAAAACAAAAUUCCUGUGCGAAUGCACGGGGUAAAAUCUAGUUAGGAUUAAUUUCGUGGACUAAUUCUAACAUACAAUAUUUUCUAUAAUUUUUUGUUUUUUUGUUUUUCCAGCUAUCUUUUUCAUCUUUAAAUAAAUUCCAAUUCCUGACACAGUCGAAAAUAAUAUAGAUAAAUUUUUACACAAAAUUAAAAACUUGUUAGAAUUUUUUUUUAAAAAAAAUUGGAGUAUUUUAGGUUUUAGGUUUCUCACCACCCUAACUACUUGAAAAUACCAAGUUUUAAGCUUUCAAGUUUGAUUUAUAAUAGUUUAUUACACAGUCAUAAAAAAAUACAAACUAAAUAUAUAGAUGUUUUAAAAUUAAAAGGAAAAAUACAAGCUAAUUUAGUUAUUUUGUUCGUUUUUAAAAUAAUUUGGACCAACCAUUUAAAAGCCUAAGUCUAGUCGGACAGCCAAUAGACUAUAGUAAUUAUUAAUGAUGCCAUUAAUUCACGCUUCAUCUAUUUUACCUGGCAAGUGUUGGCACGCGCAACGCGUGCGCCGUAGGGAAGUAUCGAACACCGAGAAAAAAAAAACCAAACAAAAAAAAAUGUCUCUCUUAAGUGGAGAGAGAGAGAGAGACAACAAUAUCAUCAACAACACGGUGCUGCGUUUAGACAAGAGAGAAACCCUAGAAAACCAAAAAAAAAGAGGAAAUUCGUGCCUCCUUACCUCCCACUCGCUUCCUUAGAUCGCGUGAACACCACACACGAGAUUUCUCUCUUCUCUCUUCCCUCUUCUCUCUAUCGUCCUCUUCCUUUCGCAGAUCGAAAACGCCAACUCGCACCGAUUGGCGCGUGCGUUGCCUUCUUCUUCCUCGAAUCUUCGUCUUUCUUGAGAUUAUAGAUUGGUUUCUUUCGAUUCUUCUUGUUUUCCCAAUCUCUCUGCUCUUCGUACCAGGUAAUUUCAUUUACUGGAACCACAUAUAUAUCUACAGUGUUUGAUCAGCUUCUCUUCUUGUUUCAAUCAAAUUGAAAUUCGGAUUCAGGAAUAUGUAAUUACCUGCUAUGAUGAAUGAUAUCGUUAACCACUAUGAAUUUUAGCUUCAAGUUGCUACCUUUUCUGCAUUUGUGAGAACAAAAUGUAUCCAUCGAACUUGAUUCUCUGAUCUUUUUGACCUAAAGAUAGAUUUUUUCAGUGUUGCAGGGAGUCUGCUUCCUUAAAUUAUAGGAAAAAAGUUAUCUUUUGUCAUGGAUAUAGAUCUUCGACUACAUUCAGGUGACCUCUGCAAGGAAGGUGAUGAUGAUAGAGGACUUGACAAUGUGUUGCAGAACGAGCACAAGCUUCAUGAUGCUGAUGAAGAUAUGGACAUUGGCAAAAUCGAGGACGUCACUGUCGAGGUACAAACCGAUGACAGUGUAGGCAUGGGUGUUCCAACGGUGGAGUUGGUUGAAUACACAGAAGGUACGAACCCUGAACCUUUCAACGGUAUGGAGUUUGCGUCACACGGCGAGGCGUAUUCGUUUUACCAGGACUAUUCUCGAGCGAUUGGAUUCAACACUGCGAUACAGAACAGUCGUAGGUCAAAGACGACGAGAGAGUUUAUAGAUGCCAAGUUUGCUUGCUCUAGGUAUGGUACUAAAAGAGAGUAUGACAAGUCUUUUAACAGGCCACGAGCUAGGCAGAGCAAGCAAGACCCUGAGAAUAUGGCUGGUCGACGAACGUGUGCGAAAACAGAUUGCAAAGCUAGCAUGCAUGUUAAGAGAAGGCCUGAUGGGAAAUGGGUGAUUCAUAGCUUUGUGAGGGAGCAUAAUCAUGAGCUUUUACCUGCACAAGCUGUGAGUGAGCAGACUAGAAAGAUAUAUGCUGCUAUGGCUAAGCAGUUUGCGGAAUACAAAACUGUUAUUAGCCUGAAAAGCGAUUCGAAGAGUUCUUUUGAGAAAGGUCGGAGUUUAUCAGUGGAGACGGCGGAUUUCAAAGUCCUGCUUGACUUCUUGUCACGGAUGCAAAUCUUGAAUUCCAACUUCUUUUAUGCGGUGGAUCUUGGCGAUGAUCAGCGGCUGAAGAAUGUGUUUUGGGUAGAUGCAAAGAGCAGGCAUAACUAUGGCAGCUUUUGUGAUGUUGUUUCUCUAGAUAUCACAUACGUUAGAAACAAGUACAAGAUGCCACUUGCUGUUUUUGUUGGAGUGAACCAGCACUACCAGUAUAUGGUCCUUGGGUGUGCUUUGAUAUCCGACGAGAGUGCAGCAACAUUUUCUUGGUUAAUGGAGACCUGGCUGAAAGCGAUGGGUGGACAAGCUCCAAAGGUUUUGAUCACUGAGCAAGAUGUUGUAUUGAACUCCAUUGUCCCCGGAAUCUUCCCCAAUACCCAACAUUGCCUUUUUCUUUGGCAUGUUUUGAUUAAGGUUUCUGAGAAUCUUGGUCAAGUUGCUAAGCAACAUGAAAAUUUUACAUCAAAGUUCGAGAAGUGCAUCUAUAAAUCAUGGAAGGAGGAAGACUUUGCUAGAAGAUGGUGGAAGAUUCUUUCUAGAUUCGGCCUCAAAGACGAUCAGUGGAUGCAGUCGUUAUAUGAAGACCGCAGGAAAUGGGCACCGACCUACAUGACUAAUGUUCUUUUGGCAGGGAUGUCUACACCUCAAAGAGCUGAUAGUGUUAACGCCUUCUUCGACAAGUACUUGCAUAAGAAGACUAGUGUACAAGAAUUUGUGAAACUAUAUGAUACAAUUUUGCAAGAUAGAUGUGAAGAAGAAGCCAAAGCUGAUUCUGAAUCGUGGAACAAGCAGCCAGCAAUGAAGUCUCCAUCGCCUUUUGAGAAGAGUGUUUCUGAAGUCUAUACUCCUGCUGUAUUCAAAAAAUUCCAGAUUGAAGUUUUGGGUGCAAUUGCGUGUAGUCCCAGAGAGGAGAACCGAGAUGCAACUUGUUCUACUUUUAGAGUUCAGGAUUUUGAAAACAACCAGGACUUCAUUGUAACAUGGAACCAAGCAAAGGCUGAAGUCUCUUGCAUCUGUCGGUUAUUUGAGUACAAAGGCUAUCUCUGCAGACACACGCUUAAUGUUCUUCAGUGUUGUCAUCUUUCUUCCAUCCCCUCGCAGUACAUAUUGAAGCGGUGGACAAAAGAUGCAAAAAGCCGGCAUUUUUCAGGAGAACCUCAGCAGUUGCAGAGUAGGCUGCAGCGGUAUAACGACUUGUGCCAACGAGCGUUGAAGCUGAAUGAAGAGGCAUCGUUCUCUCAAGAGAGUUACAAUAUUGCAUUCCUUGCCAUUGAAGAAGCUUUGGGAAAUUGUGCUAGUGUUAAUACUUCCGGCAGAAGUCUUCCAGAUGUGGUCACCUCGCCAACUCAAGGUCUGAUUUCCGUCGAGGAGGAUAACCAGAGCAGAAUUGCUGGCAAGACAAGCAAAAAAAAGAAUCCAACUAAGAAAAGAAAAGUAACUUCUUGUUUACGAUCUCUUUUUGCAUUCAACUUAAGGUUUUUCUUGCCCUUUUAUGGUUUGGAAGUCUGAUGAUUCGAAAUACCAAUUGCAGGUGAACUCAGAGCAGGAGGUUAUGCCAGUUGCAGCGCCAGAAAGCUUGCAACAGAUGGUCUCUCUUUGUUGAUAUGUCGUAGCAAGCUUUUGUUAACUUAAGAGUCCCCUAAGUAUUUGAUAUCUGACUUUUAUAAUUGCAGGAUAAGUUGAGCCCAAGGACAGUCGGCAUUGAAAGUUAUUAUGGAACACAGCAGAGCGUGCAGAACAUGGUAAUUAAUCACAAAAUACUCAUAUUAUUCUCAUAUAGACUGAGAUUUUCUGUAUGUAAUCUGGUAUGAUUUGUGUGAUUACAGGUCCAGCUGAAUUUAAUGGCGCCAACUCGCGAUAAUUUCUAUGGGAAUCAGCAAACAAUUCAAGGAUUGGUAUGAAAAUCGACCAUGACAACUCUCUGUAAAACUAGCUUCUGCUGUUUUUUCUUUCAUUAAUUUUUGGAUAAAAAACAAAAAUCCCCGGCUGGUUUUAUGUAGCGACAGUUGAACUCAAUAGCGCCAAGCUACGACAGUUACUACGCUGCUCAGCAAGGCAUCCAUGGACAGGUAACAGUUAUUCUCAGAGCUUUCAAGAGCAAUGUCAAUCUCUUACAAGACUGCAAUCAAAAAUGAUCAUUCUUACUCUUUUUUUUCUUUCUAGGGAGUUGAUUUCUUCAGGCCACCCAAUUUUCCUUAUGAUAUCCGGGUAAAUUUUCUGUUGUAAUAACAGAUUAUCACCUUUUCUUUUCCUGUUUGUAUCAAGUGGAUUAUCUUGUUCAUGAAACACUUAUUUUCACUACAGGAUGAUCCUAAUGUGAGGACUACGCAGUUGCAUGAGGACGCAUCUAGACACUCAUAGACAAAACUAUAGCCCAACUGCGAAGCAAAUCUCAAAAUGCUUUGGAUGAAAGGUUCAAAUCUCUGUAGAACAGACGCCAACAAGCACUAGAAAGAAGCUCAUUUGACACACUGAGGUUUGGAACAGAACAAGAGCAUGAUCUGUUUUUAUCUGCUCACGUGUUUAAUAGGAUGUUGUAUUGUUUCGCUUAUUAUCCCAGAGAUUCGCUUCUGUUAAUAUUGUUCGUGUUUGUAUUGUUAGUUCAGAUGAUCACCAAGCUUUGAUCAUUGACUGCUCGAUUUUAGAGGGAAAAAAACAGUGUUUAGAGAUAUUCUCUAUUUGUAAACUCUUGUUAAUUCUUUUGAUCAAGUUUCUUAAAUUUGUAUCAGAAUUAAGCCUGAUCUUGAAACCAAAUACAAAAAUGGUAUAUGGCUUGUUCAUUGAUCCCCUACCUUAUAUUUUUAACAUUUGUAGAAUGGAUCUCACAUCAUAAUCUACUACACAGUAUUUAUCUGAAAACAACAAAAAUGUGCUUUUACUUUUUACUGAACACAUUUAUAGACAUAAAACGCCUAAAUUUGAUAAAAUUUUAGUAUAUACCAAAUAUGGAAAGGGAAAAUGUGCUCUCCCCCUAAACAAACUACUAUGUAUAUUUUUGACAAAAAAAUUCAAAAUAACAAACUACGUUAUUCCAUUGAUGCAAAAUUCUAACAGAACAGAACGAUGAGAUAGUAACUAUUAUGACGACGUUAGAAUCAAAUUAUUGUUUUCUUUGAAAAUUCUCACUAGUUUCCUAUUUGGUCGUCUCUUGUUUAGCAUUCAUUUCAAAGUCACCUGUCCCGUCAAUUAAUUUGUGUCCACUUAUUCCCUAUUAAAUUGCGUAAAUAAUACAUAUCAACUAUUGAAACACUAGUCGCAAUUAAUCUUUCCUCAGUUUACUACCACAGUGGAUUUAAAUAAUCUUAACAUCUAAAAUAAUCAAAUAGUAUGCAAGAGUGUAGAAAGCAUCUAACACACUAGGAUAUAUCCUGAGUUUCUUAUCAAAAUUUUAAUAAUAUAUCACUGUCCAAUGGUUAUAUAUAAAUCUUAGCAACAUCUUCUUGAUUUAUUUCGUUGUCUCGUUGAUGAUUUUGUUAUCAGGCUCGUGCCUAUAUGUACUAAAAUAAAACAUUGGCCUACGGGCCCAUAGUUUUAAGAAAAUAUUAAGGAUCUAAUUUUUUUAUUAGAUUCAAUGUCUCAGAGUCCUAAUAAAAUUUUAAUCAAAAUAGUUAAUGAUUUUUUUUUUCAGAAAUAGUAAUAAAUAUUGGAAAAAGAAAUUAGGGUAAUAUACAUGAUCUGCCUAAUCAAUUGUUUUUAAUUUUUACAUUCGUCUCUUUACCUAUUUUCAACCAGAGAUAAUGUAUGUUUAUUUUUUUCUUCUACAUUUACAAACAAAAUCAUAAUCAAUUGGAAAAUAUUUUUUUUUUCAUUUAAUAGCCUACUGUUAACUACUAUUAGUUUUUCUCAAAUAUAGAAUAGACAUAAGCACAAUUUAAUAGUUAUUAUUUAUUCUAUGAAUUGAGGCAUUCUUGGUACCGCCUAGGGUCUCAAUAGCUCUAGAUUAUGUCUUUAAGUAUCAUAUACGAAUAUCUAUUUCUUUUUGUAAUUUGACUAAUCGUUCGUUUUCGCUGAUUAAAACAGCUUAAAGGCUUUUCAUUCUGUUGUGGGUUGAACAAAAUUGUCGGUGUAUCAUAUUCUAUUACGUCUAACCUAUACCUAUAUUAUAACUUUUUUAAAAUGAUAUAUAUGCAUGUAGAACUUAGUAUAUAGCAAAUCGCAUCAUUAUCAUUAUCGUAAGACCCUCGUUACUUCGUGCUAUAUAAUACGGCUACUGCACUAAGCAGGCAACGUGAAAUGAAAUAUAUUAACGUUUUUGUUAGCAAGAACGUACAGAAAAAUAUGCCGUCAGCUUUGUGACGAUUAUGUAAAGUGAGGGACUUAAUUUACUAUUUAAUAAAAAAAUACACACAAUAGUGAAAUGGGCCAAUUUCGUCAACUUGUUGGGAAAGUAGCCAAUAGCAAACAUAAUUCUACUAGUUUAUUGAUAGAUAAAACUCAACUCAACUAACUGUAACUUCGUAAGGUCCAUUAUUUUAUAUGAAUUUUUGAUAUCAUCGAAUGAGGUUAAAUCAGAAUAGGUAAACUAAGUACCAAAAAAAAGAUUUAUCAAUUAAACACAAAAAGUAGAUUAACGCAAAGCUACAAAAUCAACGUGUAAUGAAAACGUUCCCUAAAUCAACGGUCACGAUUGAUUAGAAAUUUUUUAGAAUAGUCUUCCUUUUGACCAAGUCGAAUCAAAAUUAAACCUAGAUAAAUAAGAACUAAAGGAAGACAAAAGCUUUUAGCUUCUUUAGUUCUUUCUUUCUUAUUACAACAAAUCUCAACAUAGUCUUUUUACAAACACAACAAAAAAUGGCUAACCCAAACGAAUGGUCUCAGUUCUACAACAACAACCAAACUUUCUUCACAACUUCCACCAUCACUUCAACCACCGUCACAACCGCUUCUCCCUCCGGUGAAGCCACCUCCACAGACUCUCGUCUGAGUCCUGAAACCGGUCGUGUAACAAAACCGGCACGUAGAAGAUCAAGAGCUUCACGUAGAACACCAACAACACUUCUCAACACAGACACAUCCAAUUUCCGUGCCAUGGUUCAGCAGUUCACUGGUGGUCCAUCCGCUAUGGCUUUUGGUUCCGGUAAUACUACUUCCGGUUUUAGCCUCACCACUUCGUCGGAUCCAACCGCCGGAUCUUCUCAACAAACUCCUUGGCAAUAUAAUUUCCAGCCUCACGCGCCGCCGCAGCCUCCUCCUCAAAGGGCUUAUAUGUUCUCGUUGAGCAACGUGAAUCCCAUCGUUGGGUAUAGUAACAUGAACAACCCUAAUAAUACUUUGGUUUCCGGUGUGUUUGGAACGGUGGAUGGUGGUGCUGGUGCUCCGUCGUCUAAGGAGGCAACGAAUAGUAAUACGUCUUCUUCGAGGCUACAAUGAGAAAACGAUUGGAUUCUUUUGAAUUUUUUUUUUUUUUUUCGCAUAAAGGCAGAAAUGUUAGGUACUGACUUUCUUUGUCAUAGAAUGAAAACUUUGACUUUUGUAUAUUUAAGUUUUUUCGUUUUCAUAUUUAAUAUUUUUUCUUUUUAGGCUCAAGAGAUUAUAGCGUUAUCAUGGCCCUAAAUCCGCAAAUAUUCAGUAACUGAAGUUGCAUACUUGCAUUCCAUAUUGCAAACUGUCAAUCAAAAUUUUAAAAAUGGUGAUUAUGGAUUGUGGACUAUAUAUUUUUUUUUAUUAGAAUUUAAAUUUAAACAGUUAAUAUGCUCGAACACUAAUGUAUAUCAAUUAUCACAUAUAAUAUUUAUAAUAAAAAAAAAAUCACGUGAAGUUCUCAAGUGCAUGUGAAAGUUUAUAUCUUUUCCAAAAUACUAGUCAAAGAAAUAUAUAUAUAUAUAUAGCAUAGACUAAGGCAAAUAGCUUACAUAUCAAAAUUUUCUGUGCUUAUUGGAUUGUAGACAUUCAAAUACGAAAAUUGUGUGGAUAUUUUCCAAAUUAGCUCGAUAAAAUAGAGAGUACGUAUGAAUAUAAGUUAUAACUAAAAAGUGCAUAUAACAGAGGACCAUGAGGCAUUUGUAUUAUUGUGAAAUUAGUGUGAAUGUAGCUUUACCAAAUUAGCUCGAUAAAAUAGAGAAAAUGAAUAAAAUGUUAUAACUUCAUAAUUUCUUUUAUAAAACGUGCAUAGAGGAUCAUGAAGCAUUUGUAUUCUUAUUAUUGGAUUGUAGACAUUCAAACAUGAAAAGAAUGUGAAUGUCGCUUUACAAAUCAGCGCGAAAAUAUAGAAAAAUUAUAUGUUUUGUCAAAAAAUAUAUAUAAUAUAUAAGUUAUAACUUUUUUUUCUUUUUCUUAGGGCACAAUAUAUAGUUACAUAUUAAUCAUAUGACUUGUAGACGGAAAACGGUGAUUAGCCUUUUCCUUUUGACAACUUAAAUUUGACCCCCUUUUUUUCUUUGUCUUUGAUCAUUAACAUUUAGGAUUAUUGAAAUACAUCGAAGGAGAAUUUUCCUGAAGACUAGAAUAAUCUUUUUUUUUUUUUUUUUUUGAAACGGGACUAGAAUAAUCUUUGACAGUAAAAUUUGGAGAAGAGAGUAUUGGAUCAUACCGAAAUCAAACUUGCCUUUCGUUCGGAAACGGAGGAAGCUUUUUGGUGAAGGUAGGCUACCAACAUGCCUAGAUUCUUAUCGUUUAUUUUCUUUUCUUUUCCAAUUCCUUCGCUAAAAUUAAUUUAUGAUUAUUACUAUAUUUGAUUUGACGGAGAUCGAAGUUAAUAUAGAGUUUGGCAUAAAUAUAUACCAAAGCCUCGCAUUCACGGUAGAUAACAAAUACUUAGUCUUAUAGAAUGUCUGUAGUUUUUUUUUGUUUCUUUUGUAAUUUCGUUAGGUUUCAGAUUCCUACGAUAAAUCCAUAAAUCAAUGAAAGAGAAUAAUUUUAUCAUGUCGUAUUCGUGUUUCUUUUGGACAAAAGAAAUAAAAAUAAAAUAAUAUUGAAGAAAUGAUAAAAAUAAAAUAAAAUGAGUGAGAAAUGGGUUGGGAAGAGGGGAUGAAUCUAAGCACAUUGUGGGUCCCAUUAAGCUUAAGUGAAAUUGCACUUCUCUUUUACUAUCGAAAACAUCUAAAGAUCUCUUACUCAUACUUUUAUAGAUUCUAAUGUUAUUUAUGACUAAAUCAUGUCUCUUUUCAUUAGAUAUGGUUUCAUUAAUUCAUUAAAUUUAAAUAAUCUAACUUAUUUUCUUAGAAAGUAUAGAAACACAACUAGACUAAAAGGUGAUUUUAAAACACAUGAAAGGAUUGAUUGGAACAAACUCUCUAAUAUUCUUUCACCUAACAGUUUUUGCAGUCAUAUAAAUGUAUUUAAUUGUAUUUAAUUGGAUAUAAACAUAUUUCUUAUGAGUUUAUGGAGAGGUGGACUAGUGGUUGAGUUGUAGUUUUUCUAGAUGGCCAUGUAAUUCUCAAAACUCCAUGCAUUAUGGUAUUUGUAAUAUUUAGUGUAAUCAUAUAUGUAAACAAAAAUUUCAAACUCAUUAAAAAGUUCCACCUCAUUAGAAAUGUACAUAAAUUUGUUCAAUGUAUUUUUUUUUUUUUGUUUUUUGACAUGAUUAAUGUUUUGUUGUUUAGAAUCAGCUUUUUAAGUUUCUCAUAAUUUAUGAAAACGAAGCAAGUAAAAUUAUUAGGUUUAUAUCUUUAAAUUUUCCCUACAUGAGCUUAAAUUUGUGUAUAAAUUCAAUUCCAUUCAUCAUUUAUUCUAAAUUAUGAAAAUUUAAUAAUUAUAAUAUUUCCGUUUACAAAAGAAUUGGCCUAGAGUGAAGAUGAGAGAAAGGAAACUACAAUGGUGUUUACAACUCUUUUUGUCCCAGUUUCUACUCUGCCUUCUUCAUGAUCGGCUUGUAAUAUUGGAUACAACGACCAAACUGUACAAUGUGUGGCAAAGAAUGGUCUAAAACCUCCAUCUGCUGUUUUAUGUCUGGUAAAGUUCUCUCAGGGAUCAGAUCCAGAGAUGGCUAAUUAGGUAGAAGAAUUGCUGAAGACAAUGAUGAACAAAGAGUGUUUAUGACCAUUAAGAUUUGCUUCAACCUCAAUAAAAAAGAGCUUCAGAAAGCAAAGUUAUGAGAUUUUUGCGAGCUUACCCACUUUUAAGGCCUUGAAACAUCUCACUUUUCCUCGCAUCUUAUAUCCAUACUCUGUGAGAGCUAAAGAGUUACUGGUAUUCUCCUUCACUCAUCCAAUUCAAAACUUGGAGUAACAGUUGGGAAUGACGUCAGAUACGAAUCGCCGUCUCUCAUAUCUUUAGCUAAACCGUCGAUUACAUCGUAUAUCUCAUCAGACUGAGGAUGCUCCUGAUCUUUAGACACAAAACAGUUUACAUAACCUGCAACCUCAAUCCCACUACGACCAACUUCUUUCCUCAAACCCUUUUCUCUCAUUCCUCUCCUCAACCUAUCAACGCCCGUCCAAUUUUUCUCCUCAGCAUACAUAUUCGAUAGCAAAACCUGAUACCCUGAAAAGUUCUUUCCUUUAUCUACUUUAGCUAACUUCUCUGAAACAGUUUCAGCGAGAUCAAGCUCAUUGUGUAGUCUACACGACCCAAGAAUUGAACCCCAUAGCUCAGCUACAUUUCCUUCUUCACCAAGUCCUUUAACAAACUCAUAGGCUUCAUUAACCCGGCCUACUCUCCCUAACAUGUCUGUAAUGCAGCAAUAAUGCUCAUUCGAAGGCUGAAUGUUAUAAACUUCUCUCAUUUCCUCGAAUAUCUUGAGACCUUCAUCCACUAGACCGGAAUAGCUGCAAGCUGAUAACACUGCAACAAAGGUGAUCGCAUCGGGUUUGAUUCUCGACUCUUCCAUUGAACGGAAAAGCGAGAUUGCUCUCUCACCCAUUCCAUGUUGACCAUACCCCAAUAUCAUCGUGGUGUAUGUCACAGAAUUUCUCUCUUUCGUCUGAGAAAACAUGUUUUCUGCAUACGUUAUCACUCCUGACUUUGAAUACAUAUCAACUAAGGCAGAAGCGACAAAUACGUUCUGAUCCAAGUAUUGCCUGAUAGAGAAACCAUGGAGCUGUUUACCUAAGUCGAUACUACCUAUUUGGCUACACACAGGGAGAAUCGAUGCCAGAGUAACAGCAUUGGGUCGGAUGUUCUGUUCUAACAUCUUCCUGAACACAACAAACGUUUCCUCUGUGUGUCCAUUCUGAGCAUACCCGGAAAUCAUAGAAUUCCAAGUAGCUUGAUCUCUUUCAGCAUAACCACUUCUCUCAAAAAGCUUCUGUGAGAUCCUAAUUAGACCUGACUUAGCAUACAUGUCGAUAAGGUAACUGUUCAUUCCUUCAAACUGAAUCCCGUGCCUGAGAAGGAAACCAUGAGUCUGCUUCCCAAUCUCUUGGUUUCUAAGAUUUGACGCAGCCGAAAGCAAAGCAGUCACAGUUAUGGAAUCAAGCUUAAACCCUUGCCUUUGCAUCUCGUACACCAACAUCAAUCCUUCAUCAUCUAAGCCAUUUUGGACAAAUGCAGAGAUCAUAGUAUUCCACGAUACAACAUCUCUCUCUCGCAUUGAAUCGAAGACUCCAAAUGACUCGUGCACAGAGCCACACCUCGAGUACAUCACCAUCAACGAGUUAAAUAUCACAAUCGGUAGCUCUUGAAAUUUCUUGCUGACGAAACCAUGAAACUGCCUGCCUAAUUCCACUUGCUGCAGAGCUGAAACAGCACUUGCUGCCAAGAGGAACGUUACUUCGUCAGACACAAUCUCUUUUGAUCCUACUGCUUCAAGAAAAAGAUCGAUACUUUCAACAAGGUAAUCGUUCUGAACACAGACCCCAAUCAUUGUAUUCCACACCUCGAUGUUUCUCUCAACGCAAGAUUCAAAAACUCUCCGUGAUGAUUCAAGAUCGCCAAGCUCGGCAUACAUAGAAAUAGCCGAACUCACCACAAACAAGUCCUUCACAUACUCAUCACCCAGUUUAAGCAUCAAACCAUAAAAAACGUUAGCUUUCUUAAUGCUUCUCGAAGUCGACACCGCGGGGAAAACAUUGACAAAGCUAACCGGGCUCGGUUUAAUCUCCAUUCUCAUCAUAAUCGCGAACUGCCUACACGCUUCUGCGUUUCUCUCUGUUUUCACAUACCAAGAAAUCAGCGUAUUCCACGCCACAACGUUCUUCCUACGCAUAUUAUCGAAAACUUUACGCACCACAUCGUAAUCAGAAGAAUCCAAUUCACUCACAGGAGCGUUCAAGCACGAAACGUACAUAUUCAUCAGAGAAUUAUGCACAACCCUGCUUGAGUUCUGUAAACAACGAAUCAAAUGGCAAUGCACGGCCUUACCAGCUUUCAAGUUUCUGGUCUCAGCACACGCCUUGAGUGUAGAAGAGUAAGUGUAAGGAUCACAUUUGGUGAAAGGUGCCGUCUUUUUCAUCCGGGAGUAGAAAAGGAGAGCCUCGUGAGGCAGAUUGUUGCAGAUAAAGCCGAUGAUGAUGGUGUUCCAUAGAACAGUGGUUGGUUUGGGAAUUGCGUCGAAUAGUUGGCGUGCGAGUUGUGGGUUACCAUCUUGGCAGAUUCUGCUGAGGCGGGAACGAAUGGAAGGCGUUUGGGGAGUGAGGUUUGGCGGUGAGAAGGAAGAAGAAUGUCGGGUUUGAUUUUGCGGCGGAGAUUGGAACGACAGUGGCGGUGGCGGUGGAAGUGGCAGAGCUGAUCCGGCCAUUAUGAAGGAGAUGACGAAGAAGAAGAAGAAGAGCCUUUAUUGGCUCUCUUCUUUCUAUGUUAUCAUCUUUGAAGUUUCAGUGAUAAGAGUUUGUUUUGUUAGUUUAUUUUUUAAUUACACUCAAUAAAUUUAUAAAUAUUCCAUUUUUCUAAACAAUUUACAAUCUUCUUCUUUUAUUGCUAUUUACCAAAUUAAACAAAACAAAAAGAAAAAAACAUAUAACAGAAAAACAGAGGCUCUGUUUCACAUUAUAUAUUGGGCUUCUUUAUCAAAAUUAUAUUUAUUGGGCUAAAAACGGCUUAUAUAUUGGGCGGUAAAGUGCAAUAUUAAUGGGCUCUAGAUUGCUUCGGCUUGUUUGAGUCGACCCAAAGUGGGACAAACCUAAAUCCAAAUCCUCCAGAAUUGUACUAGGUAAUAGGUAUGAGCAUUAACUCUCUACUAUCAUUAUUUUUGUUCUUUUGUCAAGGACACUGUAUUUCCUUUUUUGUCAUGUAUAUGAAUCUAUUUUGUUUGUGCUGAAAAGUAUAUUUACGAGAUAAGUGGCAUAUUUUAAAACAUGUCAAUUCUUCCAUAUUUUAUUUCAAAGUUAGCUACAUACAGCAUACAAAAAAAAUACAGAUUCGGACAAAAUAUAGAGCAAUAUAUCAAAGGAUAGGUUGAAAAAAGGACAAGGCAUAAAAGAUAUUUUGUUCUUACCUACAAUCGUGUCACAAAAAUAAUAGAGUUUUGGUGCUUGAGUUUUGAUGCUUUUGUUUUGAUACAUUAUUUACAGUAUGUUGCUUUUGGCAUCUUGAAAGAGUUGCUAUUAUAAAUUUAAGUUUUGGGGGACCUUACAGAAUAGACGUCUCUAAAAUCAAUAAUACUAGGAGAUAAGACAACAACAUUAGUAAAAGUAACUUAUAAAAACAAGAAAAUACUUUUACGUAUUCGGUUAUUCCUUUUUGAAUUAAUUAUCAUUAUAACAUUUUUUAUAUAUGUUUUAAAUUUAAAUCAAUGUCAUUGUGGAUUUUGAAUAUAAUUUUGGUUUAAAUUAUUAUUCUAUUAAAACAGAAGCAUGUUUUGUGUCCAAACAGAUUUUUUUAGUUUUUUACUAUUCUGUAUUUGGAUAACUGUUUUGUUAUUUUUGUUUUUAAUAUAUUUUUAAUAAAAUAAUAAAUUUGAAUUUUAUUUUUAAAAUUAAUGAAAAAAAUCAAAUUUAAAUUUGAUUAGUUUAGAUUUUUUUAGAUAUAUAGGUAAGAUUAAUUAUAAAAAUUAUUUGUUAUUAUUUUUAUAAAAAUAAUAAAUAAGAUAUUAAUUUAUUUUCUAUUUAGAUAUUUAAAUUUAAAUAAUAUUUUCAUAUUUGUAAGAUGAUAAAAGAUAUAUUAUUAUAUAGUUUUUUAUGAUCAAUCUUUUUAAAAAUUUAAAUAUUUAAAAUUAAUAAAAUUUUAUAUUAUAUGGUAAUAUGAUAGAACAUAACAAAAUUAUAUUUUUUAUUUAUAAUUUUUCAGAUUAAUCGAAUGGAUGCAUUUAAAAUAUGUUUUUAUUGUAAAUUUAAAAAUAAAUUUUAUCUAAACACAAAAAUAAAUUUGUAUUAUUAUUAAAAAAAAUCAUAUUUGUAAAAAACACAAAUUACAUUAUAAAAUAAAAUUAAAAAAAUAAUUUUUUUGUGCGUCUGCACGAGAUAGAAUCUAGAAUAACAUUCCAAAAAAAAAUUUGCUUUGGCAGAAAUAUGUAUAGUAAAAAUAAUUAAUAUGUUUUUUUUAAUUUGAGUGAAAAUUUUUAAAAUGAUAUGUAACAUGAAAAAAUGUGUAAUAUUAUAUUUGCAAGGUGUAAGUGCCAAACCUUCACAAUCAGAUUUAUUGUCUGAUAGACUACUAAAGUAUCAAUUGAAAUAAUGUCCAUUUUUGGAAGUUCAACUUUGAAGCCAAAAAAAAAUGCUCAACCUAUUAUAAACGAAAAUUGCAUUAAUUCUGAUAAAUCUAAAUUCAAAUACAUUUCUGACGUCAAAAAGAAAGAAAAAAAAUGUAUGUUUUAAAGCUGAAAUCAGCAUUUAAACAUAUUGGUAAUACAUAUGAGAUGAUGGUUAUGUACUUAUGUGUAAUUCGUUUGGGAUUUUUUUUUCCAAAUAGGCUCAACGCCACACCAUACUAUUUGAUUUUUGAUUUUUAAUUUUUUUUUUUUGGUGAUGCUUAUUGCCAUAGUUUUUUUUGUUACAGUCUUAUUGCCUAAAUCUGUUAUUUUUAACUAUUAAUAAUGUCUUAGAACACAGCCGCGUAAGCAUAUACAUAUGAUAGAAGACCUCUGCAAAUUAAAAACCUCGUAUACUAUCGUAUGAAAAUAGUCUUCUUUGCUUUCUCAAAAAACAUAGUCUUCUUUUUCUUUUAUAUGUGGAAAUAGUCUUCCCUUUUUUUUUUGCUAAUUAAAGAAAAUAGUCUUCUCUUUUAUUUACUGCUAAUUUGGUUUUGAACCAUCUUAUUUUAAAAUAAAAAAAUGUACUGCUAAAAGGACUAACUUUAUAAUUAAAAAUUAAGUUCCAUAUCGUAACUCUUUUUUUGUUUUAAGAUUUUCGAAAUAAAAGGGCAAUAUUUUAGAAGUGUAAGAAAAUAUCAUACCAAUGACCAUAUCCUGAUCCAAUGUUUUUGCUCUUUUCUGCUAGUGAUUGACCGACUUAUUCAAAAUGUCAAAACUUUUUUUCUGUCAAAAAUAGAAAAUGUCAAAACGAUAAUCGUUUUCUUGUGUCCCAAUUUUAUUCUCUUUUCUGCUGAUGUGUAAAAAAUAUCAAAACCACUAUCGUCUUCUUGUCCCAAUUUCUUGGUCUUUUCUGCUGGUGAUGGACCAACAAUGUGACGUUACGAAUAGACGAAUAGUACUCAAGUACUCAGACGACCAUUAGUUUUAGUUUUAUUUUUUUUAAUUAGUGCUGCUGUUAUGAUGAGAGGAAACAAAGAAAACGAUAUAUAAAUUAUGGACCCGGUUAUACGGAAAAUUAGUACUCAGACGACCAUUAGUUUUAGUUGGCAGGUUGUACGUAAAAUUAGUGUAAACCCAAGAAGUCAUUCACUAUUAGGAUUUAAUUUUCUAGGAAUAAAAAACGUAAGACAGAGAGAGAUGGAUAAUGUUACGUAAUGAAUGGAUCUCAUCUCAUGCUCAAGCAAAAGAAUGGAUAUCGUGCACUCAUGCACCGUAAAUAUAUCGGAAGGACAAAAUCUUGAUACUUUUAGUUUCAUGAUUAUAUGAUUAUAUCAUACAAAGUGGGUUCGUACUUCGUAGCUAAUCCCUUUAACAAAAAGAAAGGUGGGUUGGUAGCUCUAAUAUCGGUUUCGAACACACAACUGAAUUAGAAGAUAAAUUAGAUUAUAUUUCGCGAAUAUAAAUAUUAAAUUGUCUAUAUACUGAGGAGCUAACAUUUCCAUGGGCGGAUGUAGUAAAGAAAGAGUGGGGUGAUGUGCCCCUACUUUUUUGAUUCGUUUUUUUAAUAUUUAAGCAAAUUCAAUGAAAAUAAAUUUAAUUUAGUAGUAAAAAAAUUAUUUUGUCCUCAACUAAUUUUUGUUUUUCCUGUUUAUAAAUUUAUUAUGUCCCCAAUUAAAUUUUUUCUAGAUCUGAAGAUAUGUAUACAUUUUCUAAAAAAGAAGAAGUUUAACUUGUUAUGAACUGUUUAUAUAUAAUAUAUAUAUAUAUAUAUGUGUGUGCGUGUCAGUGUGUGUGGUUUAGUUGUUUUGAACUGUGCGCGUAAAAAUUGCCUUACAAUCACUGUUUGAAUUUAAUCAUAGCUAAACUAUAAUUUAGCAUUAACAAGUAGAUGUUUACGAGAUUUGAGUGGCCCAAGGUAAUACUCUAUGUCACCAAGAGGGUUCGAACCCUAACAUAAAACCCUCACAUAGUGAGAGAGAAAAUGCAUAUGAUGUGAAACGACUUGAUUAAAAGAUGGAAAAAAGUAAUAGUAGAUGUUGAUCUUUUACAUUAUACUUUAAAUCCUAGACUGAAUAGUGAAUACGAUACCACUUACCAGCAACAUCAAUGUAAUAUAUAAGAUUAUUAUGAGAGCGUAUGGACCAUUUCGUAGAUUUGUGAUUCUAUGCAAAAUUUGAUUCUCCAUUUCUAUAGGUACAGACACAAACUAACACCCAAAAAUGACCUAAUAUCAUGAUAACAAAACAACGUGGACCUAAAAGAUGAACGAAAUGAGAGAAAAGGAUGUCUUUACUUAUCUCUUGUGACUGUAGAAAAUAGACAAUUGGUAGUGCCUCUUAAGUCAAAUAAUAAUGCAAAACUCUUUCGUAUUAUUGUCCCACUGGGCAUUACACUACAAAAACCUUUGGUUGCUCCCAUUGUUUUCACCCAAUAAUUACAAAAUAUGACUACGUCAAGUUCUUAAUUUUAUAACAUUCGCUAGCGAAUGUUAAUUUACUGAUUUCUAAAAUUUUAAAGACUAUACUAAGACUAGCUAGGCAUCGCUCCAUAAGUCUAAGGUUAUAGACUAGAUUUUAUGCUUUGAUUUCUCUGAUUUUGCUGGUUCAAUGCUUUGAUUUGAUGUUAGAUUGUAGAAUUUCGAAAAGAUAAAAAAAAAAGAUAGGAAAACAAAAAAAAUGAGGGAAGCUUGUCAAAAGAAGAAAUAAUUUCUGGACGAUUUUAUCUCUCGGGUGUAAUGUGUCAUGUGUGUGUGCUUUUUUUAAGUUUCAUAAAUAGAAUGAUAGUACAUGUGAUGAGCUCGCAUAAAAAAACACAUGCUACGUUAAUAAAGAACGGCGACCGAAUGAAACUAAUUUUGGUUAUUGUUAAAAAAAAAAAACUUAUUUUGGUUGAGCGUAUUUUCAUACAAUCUGGAAAAAAAUACAAAUUGAUGCAAGCGUACGUGGAUUUUAAAAUUCUUAUUUUUAAGAUGGUGGUGAUCGGAACAUUACAAUUAAUAUAAAGAACGGACAUUAGAUGAAUAUGGAGCAUUAUAGGCUCACACCGAUUGAACUGGUUAAUCGCGUUUGGGUAUUAAUGGUUGUUUCGCAAGUGGAGAAACACAACCUUCAUAUUAAGAUCGUAUUCUCAAAAAACUGUUCUUUCAAAGUUAAAACUUAAAAAACAAGUAAAAUUGUUCCACCAAUUGCCAAAAAUAAAAUAAUAAUCAGAACUACAAAAAAAUCUUACUAUAUCACGUUGUACAUGUAAUUCAAAAUUCUAACGAAUCAGAUUAUGAUACAUAUAUAUUGAUUAAUUAUUUUUUUGUUAGCUUUAAAAAGAAUGAUCUUUUCUAUUUUAACUAUGGAUUAGUGCUGACAGAGUUAAUAAAAAUAGAUAUUCACAAUUGUAAUUGUAUACUAUAGUUAAGUGGUCAUGAAAUAUGAGGUUCAUAGAUAAGUGGUCAAAAAUAAUAAUAACAAAUAAAAAAAUUAAGAGAACUGAAGUCGGCAAUAAAAUAAAAUUAGGAAAAAUGAAAUUGGCAACUUAAUAAAAAAAAUAUAAGAAAACAAAAUAGUUAUGUCGGUAUAUUAUUGAGUCCAUAUAAAUAGAUAUUCGUAUCUAUGCCAAAAUACAAAACUAGCACGUGUAUAUAAUGAAAUACUAACCUACAUUUUUGUAAUAAAAAUUACUUGCCACUAUAUAAUAAAUAAAAGAUUGGAAGAUAUCAGGAACGAUGAGUUAAAUUAACGAAAAUAUAAAAAUGUUUCUUACUCUUAGAAUUUUUUGAAUAUAUUGAAAAAAAAAUUUACUUACAAGAGUAAUAAAAACUAUAUAUAUAUAUAUGUAAUUCAAUAAGUUAAUAUUCCAAGCAAAGUUGAGUCAAUCAAUUCUUUUAAAGUUAAUGUUGAUCACACCACAAAUUAUGCAUGGUUUACAUGGGGAAGAUAGAAAUUAGCAUGUUCAAAUUAACAAAGAAGCCGAGGGCAAGGAUCAAAUGAUAAAAUUAUCCCUGCUUUGGCAUGUAAGAGUUUUUUUUUGUUUUUUAAGGGUGUCGAGUAGCAGGCUAAUAGUUAUCAUAUAUGUCUAGUACUAAUAUCGAUGGUAAUUAUAUGAUUUGAAGUUGUGAACCCCAAUCCAUCUAAGUGAAAGCUUAGGAGUUUAAAAAUAAAGUAUUAUUAAGAACUUCUCUAUUUUAUACGUAGAAUACCAACCCAUUGAUUUAUCUAUAGACUUUAGUUCAAUAUAUGUUAUAUUUUAUUAGCAAAUUAAUAAGAGUUCAUCUUAAUUUUUAAUAGCCACAAUAUUUUAUUUAGGAUAACAUUACUGUUAAGGUUUUUUUUAUUAUCAUUGAUAAACUUUGUUAAGAGCGUAAAUGAUAAUUCAAGAGGGUUAGGGUCGAACGAUUUCCAAAACCAAGACUGGAUCCCAUAUCAAGAGUAUGAUAUUUCCGAUAACAUUAUUUUUUGCAGUAUUUUUUACAACCGAGUAUUUAUUAAAAAGUUGGUAUAAUUCUUAAUUUUUUCAUAGACGUAAAAGAAUCUAAAACUAGAAAUACGCCUCUUCUUUUUGUUACUAAGUGACCCGAAAUGUGCUUUAACAAAAUCAUAUCCGAUUCCCUUAAUCUCAAUUUGGUGCUUACAUUAAGAUAUACAAAAUAAUAUCUUUAAAUAUUUUUUCUAUAAAAGGGAACACAUUCACACUCCUCUUACUUACUGAAUCUCAUCACUUCGUCACAAACCCACACCCACAUUCUCAAAGAUGGGGUUUCCCACACAAAACCUCCCCUUGCUCAUUCUUCUCAUCUUCGGCUUCCUUGCCGUCUCCUACGCUCGUCACUGUAGCCCCAGCCCUCCUAAACAAUCACCACAUCCCCACAAACCGCCAAAACAUCCCCCUCAAACCACCUAAACCACAUCCCCACCCUAAACCACCAACCGUCAAACCACACCCCCACCCUAAACCCCACCCUCACCCUAAACCACACCCCCACCCAAAACCUCACCCCCACCCGAAACCUCCCACCGUAAAACCACCUCCGUCCACCCCAACACCGCCUAUUAUCAAGCCUCCGCCUUCACCAAGCCCACCUGUCAUAAUGCCACCAUCACCACCUGUUAUAACGCCGCCAAAGUCACCACCAACACCCGUCAUAACACCGCCGACACCAAUACCGCCUAUUA
rnacentral:lncRNA from 1 species